rnacentral:lncRNA from 1 species
UCCCCACGUGCCAUCGCCACUGGCGGCGCGUGGGUUCACGCGCGGCCGUGAGAAACCAAAAAAAGAACAGGGGUUCGGGAUGUCUUCUUCUUCUUCGUCUUCCCACGCCGGCUGUGGAGGUCACCGCCACCUGCAACAAGGGAAACAACGCAUAAACAGCAGUAGAUUUUAAAUUUUUCUUUGGUUUCAAAUCUGUUUUUGGUUCUUUCUUCCUUCGUCGUUUUGGAUCUGCCCCCCCUCUCGGUUUCGCCUUCUUCUCUGUGGGGGUUCUCUGCCGGUUGCAGGUCGCCCGUGGCCGCUGAAGCUACGGUGGCGAUGGGAUGGAUCCGCUGCCGACCGGGUUGUUGUGGAAGAGAUCAAGGGGGACGGCGCUGGUGGGAUGGACCGACGCUGCUGCGGGGGGGGGGCGAAGAUGGGAAGAUCUGUGGUGUUGCUGAUGGCGGUCGAUUAUGGUGGAGACACCGCUGCUGGGAGGAGGAGAUGAAGACGGUGAAGCUGGGGAAAACUCAAGAGGAGAGCUCCUGCGAUUUCGUGGCUGUUAUAGCCAAGGGAGCUGGCGGCUGGAGGAAGGAGAUCGGUUGUGUUUGGGUCCGGUGAGGGAGAAGAAAAUGAAAUCAGGGGAAGGUGUCGCCGGCUGGUUUCAGAGAAAGAAGAGCUGGAAAAAUUAAUGUGGGGGCGGCGGCUGUCUUGCUUCAGGAGAAGAAAAAUAGGGGAGAAAAAUUCAAAAAAACUAACCGGGGGAGUGGGGUUUUCUUGGGGGGGGUAUUUGGCCGUAUGUGGGGAGCUAUGGCUGUGGGGGUUUUUCUGAAAAAUGGAGGUCCAGUGGGGGAGAAGGAGAAAAUCUCAAAGGAGCUGGGGAUCGUGGGUCUCUGCCCACUGCUCUCGGGACCCGGCGAAAAAUGGUUCCAAUCUUCCCCCCUCUCUUGCAAAGCUGGGAAUGAGAAGAAAUAUGGGUUUUUUUCAUUAUGAGGAGGGCCACCAUGUCGGCGGGAAACAAGGAAAAGAAGACCAUGGGUGGGGGCUAAGUACUUAAUUUUCAGCCGAAAGAGAGAUUAAAAAAUGGUCUUGCGCCAGGGGAAACGGCUAGUUUCGGGUGAAGAGAAAAAAAAAAAAUUCUUAGGUUGCCCCUCCUUCCAAAAUUCAAAAUUCCCUAUACAUAGGCAAAAAUAUUGUUUCGGCCUCAAAAUUGGUCCCUUAAUUUUCUUUUUUUUGUAAAAUUUGAUUUUUCUUGUUUUUUUGUAUUUUUUUGAAAACGAGCAAUAUCAACGUCGAUUCAAAUACGGAAAAUCAAUUAUUUUAAAAAUGACGCGUGAAAAGUCGAACGCGUUCGAAAGACCCUUAAAAAUUUUUAAUUUUUUUUUAGACGACGUUGAAAAUGCUAAAAUGACGAAAAUAUAUUAAAAAACAUAUUUUUUUGAUUUUCAUUGUUUUUCUCUAUUUUUGGAAUUUUUUGAAAAUAUAUCAAAAACAUGGGUCAAAAAUUGGGUAGCAACAAGGAUGUCCUGCCUGACUUUGCACACCCCUAAUGCCAAUGGGGGAUGCAUCACAGGAAAUUUUAAAAACUUGAGAAAAGUCAGCAAGUUUUUGUAAAAUUUGAGCCUCUGCCAUCUUUUGCUUGAUGACUUUAAUACUAAAAGCUUGAAUUAAUCGACAAUAAAAGUUGGAUAGACAAUGAAAGCUUCUGAUCUCAAAAAAUGAUUGUGGUUUUGGCCACUUCAUGAUUGCCCGAACCUUCUCAGGAUCUGCUUCAAAUCCUUGCUGAGAUAUGAUAAAUCCCAGAAAAUUCACUUUGGAUUGAAGGAAAGAAAAUUUGUUAUAAUUAGCUUAAAACUUUUCUUGUCAUGGCAACUUUAAAAUUUGCUUGAAGUGUUCUAAAUGCUCCUCUACAUUCUGACUGAAAAUAAAUAUGUCAUUAAAAUAUACUACAACACACCUACCUAGAAAAGAUUUCAAAGUCUAAAUCAUCACCCCUUAUAAAGGUGCUUGGUUCAUUUCUUAGGCUAAAGGGCAUCACAAGUCAUCCAUACACUGAUGGUAACCGCUCAUUAGGUCUCGUUUAGAAAAUAAUCCUGGCACCCUCUUCAAUUUUCCUUCUAAUAAAAUUACUAAAUAUUUCUAUAACAAUUAUCUAUUUGUUUUGUUUUUAAAUGUAAUCUAGUAUUUAUUAAAAGAUUUCAACCACAUUUUCAAACACUAUCUUACUUGCUUACCCCAUCCCUACUUAUUUUUGUUCCUAUCUGUCUGAGCUCCUCCAUUGAAUCUAUAUCCUCCUCCCUUCUUCUUACAAUGGCAGAAGAAAGCAAAGCAUGCACUUUCAGCCUUCUUUGUAGGCUGCGAACACGUUGCAAAUACAUGCAGGUACGUAGCACCGUCAUAACAGUACAUGAAUUUGUUAGUCUCGUAUUGUAGGCGUGAUGACCAAAUGAAUAUUAAUUAUUUGCUUGCUGGCAUCCAUUUUGUUUCAUUAUUUAAAAUAUUGUUUUAAAUUUGUCGGAUUUCGAAGGACAUCAUGUCGCAGUGUUAAAAAAAAUAAUAAUCUUAAAAAGUAAAAGAUCACACCUUUUUAUAUAUUAUAUUAUAUAUAGAAAAUGAUUUUCUAAAUUUCUUUAUGUUUUUUUAUUAAAAAAUUUAAUAAAUAAAAAAUAGUCUAAACAAAAUUUAGUUUGGUUCUUAAAAAUAUAUUUCUCUUUAUUUUGAACGGAUUAUAUUUUUAAAAAGUUACAAAAAAAUCACAUAAGUUAUAUUAUUUAUUAAUUAUAUUAAAUUUAGUUCUUAAUUUUUUUAUUGCUAUAUAUUAUUUGGAAUUUUUUUUUAUUCUUUGUCAGUUUUAUCUUUUAAAAUUUAAUUUAAUUUAAUUUUUAUAUCAACUUUUAUUUUCAUUUUUUUAAUUGUUAUUUAUUUCUCUAAUCUUUUUUUAAUUAUAAUUUUUCUUAUUUGUCAUAUCUACUUUUCAUAAAAACUAUUUUCCAAAAAAAAAAAACUUUUUGUAAACUAACUAGUUUAACAAUAUAAAUUUAUUAUGGACACAUCUCACAUCUUUUAACUUGAGUAUUUAUUUUACAGAAAAGUCUUGCACAACACCAUUGUAAUAGUGAUAGCUUCUUAGCAAUUGCAGUAACAAACCGGUUAAUUAAUGGUAGUAAAACAAAGGUAAAUACCACAUUGGGUCAAUUUAGCUAGAAAGCGUAAGGGGGAUGAUAUUUGAUUUUCGAGGGAGGGAUACAGUUGAGUACUUCUCCUAACCCAUUAUGACCUAGGAUUAUGUUCUGGUUUCUACCUCGGGAUAGCCUUCCAAUCAAAUAUAUUAUUAAAAUUCGAGAACAACAACGUAUGACGAAUUUGUGUGAUUUAGUGAUUAAAAUAUUAAUUGCAAAGAUAUGACAACAAAGGGUGAUAGAACCAUUUGAACCAUAUUUGUACAGCCCAAAUGAAGUCGUAUGAUAAAUAUUAAUUUGGCCUGAACUAAUACUUUUUCAAGAGUUGAAUUAUGAUCGUCCUCGUAUUGUAUAUUAAAUUUAUUAAAUUGUAAAUUAUGAAUAAAUACCUCUCGGGAAUUAAAAACACAAGAUUGUUGUGUGGCCACGAUAUGAUGGUAAAUUUAAUCUUAAAUAUUCAGACAUUGUAUAUUAAUAUUUAUAUUCGCAACAAUCAGAUAUAUUUAAAUACUUACUUCAACCAUUAUUAUCCCAUAACUCAGUGUGCCUUCGUCAAAGGAGAAGCUCAUAGAAGAAGUUCAGCUUGUUGUUUUUUUUAACUAAAUUUAAUUUCAUAUAAUGAACUGGAUCCAAAUAGAAUUAGAUAUCAAUACAAAAUAUUUAACUUAAUACAGAAUCAUACAUCAUAAGAAUUAAAAUACAGUAAAAUAGAAAGUAAUUAAGUGUGGAAAACUAAUCCCAGCAUAGUGUAUAAAAAACAAGCACACGUAUAACAAAUUCAUACAAAAGGUAAGAGAAGAGGUUGAGAUUUUAUAAAUUCAUCUAAUAUUUUCUUCUUCAUCAAAUAUGCUUAAGUUUUGAUAUGUCAUCUUCAAACACAAGAUUUUUAGCUGUAUUUAUGAGUAGGGAAAUAAUAACAACAAUGUAACUAUUUAGAUCUAAAAUGAACCAAAAGGAGGUUGAUGGAAUACAUUUUAACUAUAAGAAAAGAAAGGUAGAAAAAAAAAAGAGAGAGAAAGAGAGAAAUUGAGGGAGAAGAUGGUUUCUAAGUUCUCAAGGUUCUGAUUUGAUCCCUUUUCAUUGUCACAAGAACAGGCCUCAAUAAUGGUGCCAAACUUCUUGCAUUCUUUAAUUUGUGCUGGUCUUCUUUGAAUCUCCUUAGAGUUUUACUAUUGAUAUAUUCAUUGUCAGACAGAUAUCUUUCUUCUUAGGAACCACCUACUCAUCAGUUUGCAUUACAGCCAUAUACUCUGACUAAUAAUUUGCCACCGCCUUUUGUUCAAAAAUUCAAAAGCUGAGCAGACUAUCGUAACAUCGACCUUGAAAGUAGCUUUCCCAUCAAAUAAAAAAUCAAUCUCGUUUUCAGUUCAGCCUGACUCUUUUGCCAGUUUCUACUAGGUGAAUUCAAGACUUUGAUGUUGGGUCACAUGAAUCUUCUUUUUUCCUUUAUCUAGAGGAUCCUUGUAAAGCUUUCUCCAAAUAUUGUGCAUAAAGAUGAUGGUUGAGGAUGUUGUUUUCAUCCAAAAUCAUGGAUUUUUGGUUAACGAGGAUCACACCUUCGUAAAUAAUAUCCAUCACGUCCUUUUCGUAGAAGGUAUGCUAUCUUCUUUGAUAUUGCCUGGCUGUUGUGUUACAUCUCAGGCUCUCACCUAAUUGUAUGUAUUUUCCGUUCUUAUGACGCUUUAGAGGUCAAUCUUAUGAAUUUUGGAUUAGAGAGAUUUGCGCUGUUGGCUUGAUAUUGUACUCUAUUUGAGAUGUUAUUUGCCUCAGGUGAACCAUAUUAUGGCAUGCUGCAUUAAUUUAUUUAUUGGCUCGAUUUCGCUGGAGAUCUCGUGUACACAUCAUGAUUGCACUUGUUUUACCCUUGCAAAAGACAUACUCUUACAAGGAAAAAGAGAGGAGAUCUGUACAGAAUUACAAAGGGUACAUUUUUUUAUAAAAUCUUAGAUGAAAGUGAGACAGAAUGGAGGGGAAGCGUUAGGCGUGAUUUCAUUACUGUUACAGUAUGAACGCCGUUUUUUUUUUUGUGUCUUCUUCUAGCAUUGCCACUAUCUUCAUAUAAGAUUUGAUUUUGAAUUAUUUCUCUUUCAUGGGCCAAGUUUGGUGGGUUGAUUCUUCAGACUAUAGAUUUGUUUUUUUGGAAUAGACUAUAGAUUUGUUAUAUGCGUUUUGAAGUCGCAGAUCUGCUUUGUUUUGAUGCAGGAAGCAGAUUUAUCAGUUUUGAUUUCUUAGCACAUCGAGGGAUGCUCUGCCAAGUGGAGCUCAUUGACCGAACUCUUCUAUUUGUGAAGUUUAUGCAACAAGGUAAGUCCCUUUCAUUCUUAUAUACAAAGUUAAAUGGAUGGAGGGUUCCACAAUUAACGUAAAAUUAAUAAACCGUGUCGAGUUUAAUUACUUGAUGUAAGAAUUUGGCUAGUGGGAGGUCAGGGUUGGCAUUGUCCCAUCUAGAUUAGGGAGUGGAAUUAGAAAAUCUGAAGUGGGGUUCUCGCAUAAUUAUAAAGACAGGCUUGAAAAUGAAUCGAAGUGAAGAUUGUAGAACAGUACUUAUGUAGCUUGAUUUGGCGAGGGGGGAGGGCAAGUGCGUUAACUGUCAUUACAAGGUCGGUAAUGGUGUCCUUGAAGUGCUUUUCAAGAGUCAUUUAAUACUUACAAGUAAUUAUAAUAUUUCGUUUUUAUUUUAAACACUUAAAAUAUUACCAAAUAAAACAACGUUUUUUUUAAACUUUAAAAAGGCCAUGUCCACCCAUCUUCGAAGCAUAAUGUAAUAAUAAUUUUACCCUAUCUUUAAAAUCCAAUAGAGUGUAGCAUGAUUAUCUAAAUAAGUAGGGGUGUGGUAAAGAACAAUCUCAAUCCAAUAGUUUAAGCUGUUAGGUAAACUCUUAGGAUAUAAUUUAUAUUAUUCUCUAACACAUCUCCUCAAGUGAAAGCCCUUUGGCUUGAAACUUGCACAGACUCACAUUACCUUGUGUUUAAUUUUUAUCAAAUAAAUGGAGGUUGUGAGAUUUGAACUCGUGACCACUUGAUCAUUAAGGUUCUAAUAUCAUGUCAAAGAACCAUCUCAAUCUAAUAGCUUAAAUUGUUAGGUAAUGUUUUAGGAUAUGAUUUAUAUUAUUCUCUAACAAGACGGAACCAGAAAUUUAGGAUGGAUGUCCCAGUUAAAUAAUAUAUGAUUUUUGAGAGUUUGAGAGGGCUAAUUAAAAAUUCAUAAAUUAAUAAUUUUAAAGGGUGUAACUCAAUUGAUCAAGUAUUGAGUUUAUUCUCUAGAGAUCAUCAAUUUGAGUGAAACAAACUUCAAUACUAUUGAAAGCUUGCAUGGUUGUUAAUUUCAAGAUUAUAAGAGAUUAGUCAAGUAAACAUAAAAAUAAAAAUAAAAAUUUAUGGGGGUGAAGGGUAUUAAAUUUGUUAAGAAAAUUUAGAAUUUUGGGGUGGCAAUACACUUAAAUCACAUGCUAUAGGUCCGCACCUGCAGACAAGAUAGUACCACACAUAUCAUUGAAAUCCACCGGCAAGUGAGUUAAUUUGUAUGAGGUAGUCGUUGCACACACGGUUUCCCCUUCAAGGCCACGAAUAGAGGCGCCGGCCUUUAAUACUUGCAAAUACAAGGGUAGUAACUUGAAAGGACAAUCUUCAUAAAAAUACCAACGUUCUCUAAAUUUGUCCAAGGCCGCGAGCAUUUUUUUCACGACCUAGUUGCGAUGGCCGUUUUCAAGAAGUAUAUAUUGCUCAAGUUUUUUGAUGGGUUGAAAUGAAAGAUAUAUUUUAACAUGAAUGAACGUUACCACAAGAUAUUUAGUCACGUUUUGGAAUAUGCUACUAAUGAGGACUGACAUCUAUGGGACCAUCUAGAAACUAGGAUAGAUAGAAGAAACACGAUCACUCAAAUCUAUGGGACCAUCUAGAAACUAUGACAUGCCACCUUUUUUUCUUCUUUUUUUCGGGCCAACAAAAUUAUCAUAUGACAAUAUCGUAUCGCCGUAUCCUAUCAUUUUCGAAUAAGAAAUGAUGUUUACUGCUUGCUGACAUGACUUCCUAUAGCGGGCGAUCAUAUUGGUUUGCGAGCCAUUGCAAUUUUUAUGUCCUUAAUUGCUGAUAGCAUCUUAUUUCCCUUCUCUUUUUCUUGUUUGAUAGCGCCAAAUGAUUUUUUUCUUGCAAUGUGCAAGAGAUCACGUGAAUUAGGAUGGUAGAGAGAUUAUCCUUUACUUUUAACAAAUUUGUAUUCCCCUUGUGUGUGUAAAAUAUAGAAUUAAAACUUAUGAAUUAGUAUUUGUUAAAAAAAAUAUUUAAAAAUGCAUUAAAAUAAAUUAGUCAGAAUAUUGUAAUAAUGCAGAAUUGAAUUUUGAAUUCUAGGGUCUUUGAUGAAGAAGUUUGAUUAUUAGAAAUAUUUAUAUAUAAAUAAAUAAUUAGAUUGACAAAGUUCACUAAUUAUAUGUUAUAUGUUUUUUUUAUAAAAAAAUCUAAAAUUAUUUUUUCUAUUUAGAAAAUAUCCUUGAAUUAUACAAGGAUAUAACUAAAAAUUCUCUCAAAAUGCCUUUUAAAAUAAAAAGAUUAAAACUACUUGAUCAUUAAAAUUAAAAAAUAUUUUUUUUUCAAACAAGUAGUAUUUUUGAAAUAAAAAUAUAACCAUGUCAGUUUAAAUAAAGUUUUUUAAAUAAGAUAUAUUGAAGAAAACGGAUAUUAUACAAAGUCAUUGAAAACACAACAAAAUAAUAAAUCUGUUGAAUUAUAAAAAUAAAAACAGACUGAAUUAUUCACUCUAAUACUUACUGAAGAUUUACCUUCACCUAGCGUGGCAUCGAUCGUUCUUAUUUUAACAGAUUUCGGACUGUUUGUUCUGUAUUAAGUUGGCAUUUUCUUCGUGAUCAUUAUAUCUCAAAGCACAAUUAAAUCUUGUGUUCAUGGAUUAAAAUAUUUAAACAAAUUAAUUUUAAAUAAAUAAAAAAUCUCCUUGCCGUCAUUUGAUCUUGUGUUCUCAUUUAUUACACAAUACCAAAUAGAGGCUAAUCAUCCCAUGUUCAUUUCCUUGCCGUCAAUAAAAUCCGAGGCACGCCAAAAUCUUAUAGCCACAGACAUGGAAUGCCCUUUUCCUGGACCAAUAGGCAAAUGAAAAGGUCAACCAUUUUAGACAUGUCAAAUCGCUUUUGACUUGCAUUCUUUCUUGUGUGGGGCUGCUUGCCUUUUCUUGUGAAUUGAUUUUGCAAGAGAAACCUAAAAAUGUCUUCGAUUCUUGAAGUCUAAGAUCACGUUAAUUUGUGUCUUCAUUCCAAGGUGGUUGUUGAGCGGUAGCUAUAUCGAGGAGAGACUUGCAUGACACCCUGUGUUUUUCUCUUGCUCUAAUAAAGUAUAAAGUCUCAUCCUGGACGACACAGCGCCGAGUAGGAAAGCUUUGUUCUCUUCAAUACACCUGGACGGUGGGAUCCUUUCUGAAGCCACUGCCGGCAAGGAUGCUUCUCCUAGCAAGGAAAGUCUAGCCAGGAGACGUGUCUCUUGGAUCGAACACAAAUCGUUUAGUAAAACCAUAUUUAUUACUCCGUUUUUUUUUUUUUUUUUGACACCACUCGCAGCAAUUACUUAUUAUGAUUGCUUUCUUCAAUCUAGACUAGGCUUUUUAAUAACUGCAUACCUAACUUUAAAGAUGGGAUUGCUUCGUGCGCAGAGACUUUCAAUGCUGAAAAGUUAGAAUAAAUUAAAAUGUUUGUCGCGUUUCGUACGUAGAGUUUGAAAUCUAAUUAUCUCUCUAUUAUCUAUUAAAAGAUACUAAUUGGUGAGCUAUAUUCAUCUCUCACAAGGUUUUCUUGGACAUCAUUCAAAGCAAAUCCUUGCUAUCAUUGCAUUAUCAUUUAGACUAUACUUUUUAGUCCUACAUCUCUAGCUUGGAAAAUAGGAUAGCUCCAUAAUUAGUGUACAUAUGUAUGAUUGAGUUGUAUAAAUUUUGCAGUCUUAUCUACCUCGAAAGAUAGAAACAAUGCUGCCCACAAUCGAUAGGCAGACUUCCUAUGUUAACAAAAAUUACAAGAGUUAGGAUUUUUGUUUUAGUCAUAUGAAGUUUCAAUAAAAUAUUAUCACACUAAAUUAAUACCUUCAAAGAGCAGAGGCCCCCCAGUCUCUGACCUUUUUUUUUUUCUUGAAUUUUAAAAUGCUGUCGGCAUCCUCCAUAUAUGUACGGCACCUUAAACCAAGACGUUGACUUGCAUUGUUCUUAUAUAUCACUCGGUCAUAUAGACCAACUUUGGGUUACAAGGCAUUGGAUUUUUGCGCAGAAUUAGGAGAUUCUCCAAAAUUAUUGAGGUAAUAAUGCUCUUGGUCUAUCAUCACUAACUAUGUUGAAUAUAUCCCAUGCUGAUGUUUUACGUUCUUGCAUUUAUUAUUGUACGGAAAUGCUAUAUAGACCACACAGUACUAAAAUGGAUUAUAUAUAUAUAUAUAUAUAUAUAUAUAUAUAUAUAUAUAUAUAUAUAGAACUAUACUUGAUUGAAUCCUCUUACAUUAUGGAGAGGAGGAUCGAUUGUCAGCAAGGACAAAAUUGUGUUGCACACAGACCUACCCAACAACGAGAAACAUGAAAUGAUCAGACUUCUACGCCAGUCCAAUUAUAAUUGGAAAUAAUUAAGCACAUACUUGUACAAUGACACUUUAAGCCUUACAGUGGUGAACUUGAAGGAACUUCCAUUAAUGCUAUUGUAUAGUGAAGGACUGUCACUAAUUUCCACAUUAACGGUUCUGCGUGAUCGGAAUGGACGGCUCUUGCAUGUGGUAGGGCAGCUCUGGGUCGGUGUCUUUGACGGGCAAUUUUCAAGAUACUGUUGGAUGUAGGGGUAAUUUGGUGGUUACAAACUAAUUGCUCUCGACUGUAUAGAUUACUGCUGUGGGACCGAAUUUCCUUAGCAGGUAAAAAAAGGUGUAUUCAUCAUUUAAAGGGGAAGUUGGGCAUUGUGGUCCAAAAGUAUUUUUAAAAAAAUUUAAAAUUUUGAUUUUUUACUUUAAAUUAAUAUGUUUUUGAUGUUUUUAAAUUAUUUUGAUGUGUUGAUUUUAAAAAUAAUUUUUAAAAAAUAAAAUAAUAUUAUUGACAUGUUUUUCUGAGUGAAAAACAAUCAAAACCACAUUCCUAAACACGCACAAAAACGAGUAUGAAUAUUGACAAGGUCAUAAAUUUAUUAGUAGUUUUGAGUUAUUGUUUUGAGAUUGAAAUGACAGAUAUUUGACAAGUUUUCAUCAUGUUUAAAAAAUAAAAAUAUUUAUUUAAAAAAUAUUAUAUUUUAUGUUUUAUCUUAUCUUGUAUAUAAAAUACGUUCCUGUCUUUUCUAUAAUAUACAUACUAAAGAGAAAGAGAAGGGGAAGAAAUGAUCCACCAAGUCCGAUUAAACGGAGGCAAGAAACUUGAUGAAAUAUGCAUUUUAGUUUCAGGGAAGGAAAAUCCAUGUGGAUUCAAUUUUCAACGUCUGUUAACAAAGAAUGGCAAUGCCCACCCCCGCAUUUGGCGGGUAACGCCAGCUAUGGGGAAAAAAUGAAUAUUUCAUUCUACCUGCCCAUAACAAAGUACUAUUUGAUUUAUGUACGGAUAUCCUAAACCCUAGCUUCCAUAGGCUUCUUGUUCUUUUAUUAUUAUUGUCGUCGUCGUCGUUGUUUAUUUUAUCUACGGUGGUUACUAAGGAAAAAACGCUUUGCUUUUGCUCUAAAAGGACAGGAGGAGCUUACAAAUCCAUUCACCAGAUGCAGGUAAGUCUUCAAAUCAUGACAUGCUGCUACAUUGAUGCUAUUGAGAAAUGGAGAAUCCUUGCUACUAAGUCUUAGCUCCCUGCCAACUUCUGCAUAGACCCAUUGUGUGUCCUCCACCUUUUUUUGGAUCCAACUAGGCAAGCUUGCCAUAUUGAGGUCUCCUUUGUUUGGCACAUUGUUCUCCCCAUCAAGAACAAAUCCAGGUACUUUUGUUAUUACAUCAUCUGAAUUUACAAUACGCAGGACUUUCGUUCCUUGUUUUUCCAGGUGUUGUCUGAAACUCCUGUUACCAACACGUGGACCUCCGAAAGAAAUGACAGUCACAAGUGGCGCACAGUUGAAUGUAGUCUUGAUGUCAUAAGCAGCAAGAGUAGCAAGUGCAGCUCCAAGACUGUGUCCUGUAAUGGUUAAGCUAAGAGGUUCAUCACCAUAGGUAUGGAGUAGCCUUUUGAUCUCUCGACGCACCAUUUCUUGUAAACUAGGACCCAUUGGUGUUCCUGAAGUGUAAAGGCUCAAAAAUCCGCUUUCUACCAUGGGUCCACAAUCAUCCGAGCGUUUUUUUUCACAAUCUGAAUUUGGCAGUUGAGUCAGGGUUGCUCUAAGAUUCUCCAGCCAUUCAAGGCAAGUGGCAGUACCUCUAAAGGCAAUCACCACGUCUCUGCGUCCUAGCCUCGCAAUUUCUGCCUUGUUUAGAGAAACGGCUACGUAUCCAAUCCAACUGGACUGGGUAAACACCCAACUAGGUGCUUUUUCAGUCCAACGUGGGAUUUGGAUUCCCGAUGUUGCACGUAGAUGUUUGGUUAGUCGGUAACCAGUGUCCGGUUUACCGCACCGCUCAAACAAUGUGCUCUUUGGGAACCGGCAGGUUGCAUAGGUGGGUGAUGAAGGAUCGAAGUCAAAAGACUUGUAUGCAGCAUCGACAAAGUGUCCAUACCGAAGAAUUUCUCCACGUAAAUUAUCAUCAAGAGGGUCGAGCAAACCUUCCCAGUUUCGAAUACCUUGAUACUCCAUCCAUUUCCGUCUUAGUUUAACCGGCCGGGAUGCAGUCGCCGAUUCAUGGCGAACCGGGUCAAGCAAGCCUUCCCAAUUUUUUAGAGGUUGGUUUUGUAACUUUUUGCUGAUUUUUAUGGGUUGAGUGAGAGUGCAGCACUCCAAUGUCAUGUCUCUAGUGGGUGGGACUGUGCAUGGCUUUGCAAGUCCAACAGAAGACCUCAUGAUUUUGGUUUCUUUGUAUUAUAUGGAAGAGAGGAACUUGAUUUUUUUUCUUCUUUCAGAUGUGAAAAGGAGAGAAAGAGGCAAAGAAUGGAGAUGAAGGAAGUUCUCGAUGUUGGUGUUUGUUGCCUUCAAGGGGUUUUGGAGGGUCGUUUUUAUAGGGAGAAAGAGAAACAGGAGGCAUGGAAGAAAGAGAAAAUGUUGACAGAGAGGGGUUCUUGCGUUUAGUUUUUGAACUUCAAAAAAAAAAAAAAAAAACACGAACCAGAGGAGGGGAAUUUUUACAAAGACAGCUUUGGUCUACUUAACUUUUAUUUAUAGUAUUUGAGCUUAUUCUGGAGAACUAGGUUCUUUUAUAUACAUGAUAAAUACAUAAAGUUUGGGAUAUUAUUAUGUUAUUAUAUUCAGUUAAUUUAAAAUAUUGAAUUCAAAAUAAAUAUACCAUAUAUGAUUUCAAUAUAUAAUAAAAAUUGAAAUAUUUGCUAUUUUCUUCAUCUCAUCUAGUUGAACUUUAAAACAAUCACCGAGAGCAAUUAGAACACCAUGUAGAAUAUUAUUUAAGUUAUAAAAAAACCGUCUUGUUUUCUAUUUGUACGUGUUUUAAAAUGAUUGUCCUGCAAACCAUCAAACCAUAUGCUUCCAUACAAUACCUCUAAUUAAAGCCUAAUUGUAGUAAGCCUAUAAUUGUAAAUGGUGUCUUUUAGUUUUUAUUAGAGCAGAUACCAGCAAUUGGAAAUAGGAGAUUUUCGAAAAAUAUUUUUACCAAAUAUGGCAAUUGGCAACGAGUUAAAAGGAGAGAAGCCGUCCUAACUGGUAAGACUACGUUACGAUCCCAAGGAAGCGACGACCGACGUGAUGAUUACCAAAUAUGGGCUCGAAUCAAAUCCAAUGGUCCACCUUCAAUCGAGCUUGAAAGGAUUUACUGAGCCCAAAAGGUACCUUUCGACCCGGUUUAAGACUUAAAUCUCAACUUAAGCGAGUUGAUUUAUGAGUUAAUAAAUCAACUCAGAUUUUAAUAUAAUUUUUUUAAAUCUGUUUGGGGAAAAACCCAGGUUUUUCCAUUUGUUGACGGGGGCCAAUUCCCAUCAAUAAUUUUAUUAAGUUGACUUAGGAGGUAAUUUUAAUAUUAAGUUGACCUACCAGGCGAGCGAGUCUUACAUGCAUAGUAAUGAGAAAUCCAACUGUAAUAUUGUGGAUCAGUAGUGUGUAUGAUCGGCCUCUCUAUUUUUAGUUUUAUCUUAUGUUGACCCUCUGCUUGUAUUUCUUGUCUUAUCAUUCACCCAUUCUCUAUUUUGUACUGCCAAUCUGAUGAGUCUUCCAUCUGUUUUCUUUUGCUAUUUAAGGCAGUGUCAAAUCAAACCAUAAUUUACUCUUAACUAAAAAUAAAAAUAAAAUCCUUUUUUCUUUCAUAUCUUCACCCUUCUUUAAUUUAUUAUUUAGUGGUAUAAUCUUACUUCAAUUAUUGUUUGUUAUUAUUAAAUUCGAUAAUUAAAUUUGAAUUUUAUUUAAAAUAGUAGAAUGGAUGGUUAAUUCUCAAACAUUUUUUGUUUAUUUAUUUGAUGUGACAAUAGUUCUCUGAAAAAGAUUGUCUGCCGAUGGAAGAACUAUAAAAUUACCCAAAAGAAAAGGGAAAAAAAGAGGGUAGAGUUAGGACGACAAUAUGAAGAAAUGUAGUCACGGAAAAAAAAACAUAAUUGAAAAUAGGAUUAAAAUUACAAUUAAUCAAUGAUAUUGUAGCUUUAGUUAUUAGAUCCGACAGAUAAUUAACUCGAUGACCAAUCAAUAUAUAAUCUGUUCUAGACAAGUUGAGUGAAAAAACUCUUUUCUUAAAAAUAAAUAUCUUUUAAAAAAAAUGAAUAGGUUAACCACUCGGUAAGAUUCCAAGCAAGCUCUUAUAUGACUAUUAUCGAAGCUCACUUGAACUAGCCCCCGCUAGAUGGGCUCGGCUUUAGCCGUUUCAAAUGGAAGCAGCGUAUGCCAUGUGUUAUAACGUAGGGAAGGAGAUGAUGACGUGAUUGGUAUUAUUAGAUUGUGAUUAUUGCAUGAACACUUUACCAUGUGGUCACGACAGUUGUUUGGUGCAAACAAGGUAUCAUAACAGUUCUCUUCUUUAAAUCUGCUUUGUUAGUUUACGUUAAAAAAUCUCAAAUAUCAUUGCACGUCUCACAGUUUCACACGUUGAUUCCAUCUUUCAAAUCUUCAAGCCUCCUCGUGAACGUUUAAUUUUUUUCCCGAAUGGUUCAUGUUGAGAUCUAUCUGUAAAUUCUCUUCUACUUUGUUUUUCUUUUUUUCUUGGAAACCAUUAUUUAUUUAUGGAUUAUCUCCAAACAUGAUUGCAAGAAAUCGUUCGAUUUUAGUGCAAGAAAUCGUCCUCAGACAUACAUGCACACACACACAUGUUUUCAAUGGCUGUGUUGAAGAACACCUAAAGGUUGAGGAUUAAUUCAUGUGUUUUUAAAUCCAAUGGUUGAAAAAGAAAGUGUGUGUGUGUACCACAACAUGCAUAUUUUAGCCGAAUCAGGUAAUCGUUAUCUAUCUCUUCUUUCUUCAUUUUGGUUUCAUGUGUUUUCUUAUACAAAUCCUUAUUUUGUCGACAGCUUUUUUUUGUGUUUUUCUUGUCAAUGAAUUCUGAUAUAUGAAGAAAAUCCCUUCAGCAUUCAUAUGCAUUGAUGAUCAAAGAUAAAGAAAAAAAAGUACAGAUGCAUGUGUUGUAUUGUCAAUAUAGCCAGCUGAAAGUCCAUUCAUGUAAUCCUGCCUGAUUUGGUGGGUUUUUAGUUGCGUGCUAUGAAUUUGAGAUGCUGGUUUUGCUUUGUAUAUAGACUUUUGAAGAUGACUCAUCUUAUUAUUGGAUUCAGGCCAAACAUUUUGGAUUUGGUUGUGGCAAAACAAUUAGCAGAUAAUUACAAAUUAGAUCAGCUCUAAAUCUUCUAGCAUGUUCAAAGCUAUCGUUUUCGAAGAAAUGCAGCCUCCCCACAUGUAUUGAGUGAGCUUAUAGAAGUCCUGUAUCCAAAUAAAUAGAGUAAAUUAUGAACCAGUCCAUAUAGAUUAACACAAUCAAUUACUUAGACGUCAUGAUUUCAGCAAAAACAAAAGGAAAAAUAUAUAUCUGAUUUCUAUAUUUUAAAAUCUGGUUAUUGUUGACUGUGGAGAAUUACUCACAAAAUCAAGGGUUGAAGAAAGGGGUUAGCAAAGCGCUGAAAUGAGGAUUUGUGGUGAUUCGUUGGGAGGAAUCAUGAAUGGAAAUGGGAUGUGUGUUUUCUCAUUUUCAAUUAUAAAUAGGCACAAUUUGAAUGAGCAUGCAAGAGAAAAAAAGAGAUAGAAAAAGCUGUCUUGGCAGCAGCUUGUAGUGACAAACUGGGUGAAAGAGGUGGGGGUUGAGUUGAGUUGAGUUGAGUUGAGUUUCUUUCUCUUCCAUUAUUGUGUAGUUGUAGCUUUCUCUAUUCUGAAUAUUAUUGAUUGCUCUGUGAAUAUAGACACGUUACCAAACUAUAUUCAAAUAUUCUGCUCAGCCUCCUAGCAAAGAUCAAACUGAUCCUAACAAUCAUCACUCAAUUCCAUUUUCAAGUUUAUGAUAUUUUUAAUUUACUUCUUUUUACUUUUUGAGCAUUAGAGAAAGCAAAAGUGAAUUAGAAAGAAAAGUGAACUUUCAUCGGUGCUAGCAAAGAGAGUAUUUAAUUUAUUUUUGAUAGUUCUUAAUUAAUCUCAAUAAACUAUAAAGACUAAGCUAUAAUCUAUCCUUAUCUAUCUUUUAUUUUAUAUUGUAAAGCUAACACAUCGUCUCGAAACUUUUCCACAAUUAUAAAAAAUAGCACUUUAAAAAAUGAAAACGUUAUUGGAUUAUCAUGAAUUAUCAAGAAUUUAACUUAGUACUCCGACUAAAAGGUGCCACGUAGGCAUACUAAUUCAUGGCGUUGUGAUGGUAAGACUAUUAUAAAAUAAAAGAAAAGGUAGGGCUUGAUAAAUUUGAAAGAAAAAUAAAAGGUUAGAGGCUCCCAUAAAAAGAAAAAGAAAUACUAGAAGAAUAAAGAGGCCAAAUCUGAAUAAAACCCUUCCGUUUUAAAUAAUAAAUAAUAAAUAAAACUUUAUGGAUCAUACACCGAAAAUAAUAAUAAGGUAGUUCCUCACAACAUGGAGGGUCAAAAAGCCAGGGUUGUUUGUUUAUCAAAUUUAAAAUAAAUGCUGCUAUUAAUUUAGGCAUUGUGAUUUUAAAUUGGUGGUCUAAAUUGCAUGCAAUAAAUCAAUUUUUUAAAAAAUAAUUGAUAUUGUUAAAGUCCAUAUAUAAAAUUGUAAGUGAAUUAUUGAACAUAAUUGAUCUCUAGCAAUAAUUAAUUUCUUUAGUUGUGGAGAGUGUUAUGUAUGCUUUUUAUAUAUUUAUUUUUUGGAAUGACAUAUUCAUUCAUAUAUCUAAAAGUAUUGAUAUUUAAAGAUUAUACAGUUUUUUAUUAAUGACUUACAUCACUUUUUUUAGUAUAAAGUUAAUGCAAUGUAGAAGUGCCUUUACAGCACAUAUUCAAUUCCGUGUGGUUAAACUCUAGCACUAUAUAUGUAUAUUAGUGACUGAAUAUAAAUUUAAAUUUUAAAUCUCAUUUAAUAUUUAAUUUUUGUUUGAUUGAACUUAUUCUUUAGAGAACUGAAUAAUUAUGAAACGCUACAACUUUAUUAUUUUAUAAUUAAAAAAUCAACAUAAAUAGUUUUUAUUUAAGUAAAUAUAUAUUUUUUUUAUCAAAUUAAGAGAAUAUGUUAAUAAAUUAAUAUAAAUUGUUAUCAGAACACUUAAUAAUUUAUUUAUUUUGGAUUGAGUUGAUAUUUUGAUCAUACUUAAGAAGCACGGUUUACUAAUUUCUUUCUCUCAUCUUCUUCUUUAUUUUUUUUAUAUAAUAAAAACAUAGUUCAAUUAUAGCUUAUUUUGGCUUAAAACAAUGAUAAAAAUUUAAGAGUUCAAUUAAUAUUUAAUUUUUUAUUUGUUAGGUGAGGUUCGUUGACAUAGUAUCAAAAUCUUAUUGAUCAAGUCAUCAUGAAUUUCUCUUUCACCUUUAAAAAUUAAAAACAUUAAAAGAAGUAAGAUACGUACAAAAUAUCUUGAAGUUCCAAAGUAUUUACUAGAGAUGAAUAUUAUCAUUUUUAUUCUAUUUGAUAAAAAUUAAGUUAUAUAAAUUAAUGCAAGUUUCAAGUUUAAAAUAAUUUUAUUUAAAAAAGUGUAUUAAAAAAUUAUAAAAAUCAAAUCUUAUAACUUUACUAUAAUUUUUAGGUUGAUAUAUGUAUGUGGAUGAAUGAAUGUAUUUAUAUUAGGGUGUUGAUAAAGUAGACAAAGUCAUUAGCCAAACGAUUACCUUUUAUAGAUAAUUCUUGAUUUCACUCUCUAGAGAUAAUUCAAAUCUCAAUGAUAAAGAUACAUAUACUAUUCUUUUAUGAGAAGACCACUUUAUACGUCCAAUCAAUACGGAUUUUAAAGAAUGGACAAAUGAUACUUUUGGUAUGCAUCAACGUUAGAAAAGAGAAAAAAGGAAACCAUGUAAUUAAUAUUAUAUAUGUUAAAUCAAUGAUCUAUAAAAACCAAACACUUGGUCUCUCUCCUUUUCUCCCUGUCUGAUAUCAUGCAUGAUAGUAAUGCUGUUAUGAUGGGAUAUGGUUUGAAUAUCUUCAAGAACAGUGAUCUCUAUGCGUUAAAAUAAAAGAAGAAGAACAAAAAUAGUUAUGAAUGAUCGUUUUCUUUGCAGAAGGCCCACCAGCUCCUUCUGCUGGUUCCUUUAUGAAUGAAAUCAAUACCGUUAAGAAGACUAAAACGUUGUCGUAAGUAGCCAGGUCAUUUUACUCCACAGAAAAUGUUUCUGUUCUCAGGAGCAGAUCCAAAUGCCCAAGUGAUAUGCCCCCAGAAAUGACCAAUAUACUGGUAUUACUCGGAAAGGACAGUUUAGUUGAGAAGUAGGUGAGUUGAAAGCUAACACUGCCUGCCUGUGUGUUAUGUAACUGGCACAAGGGACAUCUUUAUUAUCUAAUUCUCAUAAUAAUAAUAAUAAUAAUAAUCAGAAUGAUUGAAUAGCACACACUUGUGUGGAGAUCAGAUAUGAGACGUUUAGAGCUAUUAGCCUAUGAAAUUCUCCUGUACAAAAGAUGGGCAAGUGAAAUUUCUUGUCCAUAAGUAAGACUUUAAAUAAGUGCAGGCAUGCACUACACUUAAUGCCUGUCCUAAAGCAAAGAAAAUCACUCCAAUUGUCGUACCAAAGUGUCUUUAAUUUUGGUGAGAAAUUAUUUGUUUUGGUGAGAAACAUCGCUUGUUUACUGUGAGAAAUGAGUUGUGUUGCGUUCCAAUUACAGUAAGAUUUCAUGUUUUUUAUUCAUGGGUGUCGGUGAAACUGAAUCGGGUGAAUAUAUUAUAUUGUUUGAUUAUUUUUUUUAUCUCAUAAUACAUACAGUGUAAAAAAAAAAUUAAUUGGAAAUAUAAUGAAAUAAUAUUUUAAUAAAAUGGACCCACAUCCAUCGAACUUGCUUGGAUCUUCUGCACGUGUGUGUAUAAGAGCACGUUUGCAAGUGCUUCUGAUAUGCUGCUUGGUCGUUAUGUUUUAUUUCUUUUCACGUUUUGGUCCUAACAAGUGGGCAUAAUGCAUAAAGGCCUGUUUUUUCUUCACCUAUCUACGAUUACAGUAGUACUACUAUGUAAAAGCGAGAUAUAUCACGAGGCACAGGCGCCGCUAUGCCGCAAAAAUCAAAGCUGACUCGACUCGCAAGCCGUCAUCGGUUAAACUAACCAGGCCUUUCACAUGUGACGUGGCAAAUCUUUCAUGCAACUUAUUUGCGUAUCGACGGCAGUUUUUUUAUAGCAGGGUUAUUAAAGUGGGUCUUGCCCGACACGGUUGACUCAGUAACUCUUUAACUUAGUUCAAAUUAAAUUAAAUAAUAUUUAAUUCGGUAUGACUUAACAAGCAACUCUUAAUAUGAUUAAAAUCUAUUUUGAUUUUUUUAUAAUGAUAUUUUAUUUUUUAAACGAGUUUUAGAUUGAAAUUUAAUAAAUCUAGAUUAUACAUAUAAGAAUAUUAAUAAAAAGAUUCACUAUUUAAAAAAAACAAAUAUAUCCCUCCUUGUAGGUAGACUGAGACGGAGUUCAAUGUAGAAACUAGCAAAGUGUUCGUGGGUUGUCCUAACAGUAUCGCUAAGCUUAAGCAGUGCUCUUAACUGUGUUUUUUAUUUUUUAAAAAUUAAUUUUAAUAUCAGCAUAUUAAUUUAAAAAUAUAAAAAAUAUACUAAUUUAAAAUAUAAAUAUAAAUUUAAAAUUUUUAAAAAAUACUUUUCAGGACUGCCAAACACUCACGAAAACAACGGUUAAAGUUGCGGUAGAAAGUGACAGAUGAGAAAGAGCAACUAUCUCCGUUCAGAAAUAAAUUCCUGGAGCUGUCUAUUCCCCCGGUUCCUACUAAUCUUUGGAAAUCAUUACAAGACAGGAGAUGAUUUCAUUUGGUUUCCUUCGAUUUUCUUGACUUUCACCUCCGUUUUCUUUUCUUUUUCAAGUCAUUGGCAAGUACAUAACGAAGGUCAUGAGCUGAUUAGAUCCAAUUUAAAUAGUUUUUAUUUUGCUCAAAAGGUAGAGAGACUUUGAUUUCUAGCCUUCCAAUAUAUAGACCAAGAAAACCGAGAAAGGAACUGUGCCAAGGAGCACCCUUUUCACCUGGCCUCAUCGAGACUCACUGAUCAUUUCACGGCAAAUGAGGGUAAGAUAUAUUGAUUGGGCAGUGAAAUAUCUGCUGAUCUUUAAACAAAAAAGAGUGAAAUCGAGGGGACUUGAUAGAUUUUUGCAUAGAUAGCAAUUGGUGUAGUAAGAAGGUGGAAUGUUGUGGAUGCUCUCUACUUCUCCAGUGGGGUGGGGGACUUUUCUUUUUUAAAUUAAGCACACAAAUAACGAGCUAGUUUCCUGAUGUGGGAACACUUUCUUUAGUGUUUACUGAAUUAGAAAUGGGCUAUGGCUCCAGGUUGAUGUGAACAACGGAUUCUCAUGGGUUGGUGGCCGAGCAACUUUGCCCUCCUCUGUCUUGGGACCGCUCGAAUCCCCAGUUGGAUGCAGAAUAGGAGAGAUGGAGAAGGGAAAAAUCCCAUUAUUGGUCCAAUUCUCAUUUCUGAAGUGUGUUUUGCUUUUGCCUCAAGAAAAACAGUUUCCUAACCACCAUUUUCAUUGCAUAUGUUAGACCUCAUGCGACUACCAAGCUAAAACAAUUUGGUUAAUGGAAACAUAUUUCAAUUAAAAAAAAGUUUAGUUUUGAUUUUAAAAAAGUAUUUUUUUUUUAAUUUUGAACAAAAAAUAGUUUUAAAAGGUUGUGAAAAAAUAAAAAUAAAAUCAUAUUAUUUGUUGGUUAUAUCAAAUUUGAUUAUCGAUUUUUUGAUUGCUAUAUAUUUUAUUUUAAUUUUUUUUUUCAAUUUUAUCCAUUAGAAUUUGAUUUAAGUUGAUUUUUAUAUUAAUUUUAGUCUUGUUAUUUUUUUAAUUGAAAAUUUUUAUCUAUCAUAUUUGGUCCAUAUUUUUUUAAUUAUUAUUUAUUUUUAUUCGAAAUAAUUUAUGAAAUUUUAAUUUUUUUAAUUUAAUUUAAUUUAAUUAUUUUUUAACUUUUUUAUCUGUCAAAUUUUAUUUUUAUUAUUUUAAUUGUUUGUGGGGCUAAGAAGAUCCUGUGAGUUGUGAUUAACAAGUGCCCUUCUUCUCUUGGUUUUGACCUUCCAGCCUCUAAUUAGUCUAUUCUUGCUGCUAAUCUGAACAAUCCAAGUCUUCUGUAUUUUAUCCACACAGCUCACCGUCUGCCAAUCGGUAAACACAAUUGCAUGGGAAUGUAAUAUAGCUCAACUGUAACACAUCUUAGUGCUUGAUAAAAUAGUGUGUGGCGCAGGUUGAAAAGUACGGAUGAUUCUAGCAUGUUCACGGUUGCAAUGAGCCUAUUUUCUUCAUAAUUCUCUCCACAAUUUGGACAAUAAUUGAGAUCAUACUCAGUGUCGGAUCUGAGUUUCAUGGCCGUUAUAUCUCCUGGGGCAAAAUGCCUUCUCAUCAUGUCCCUGCAUUAUUUUUUGCAAGUUGGAUCAUUGUCAGUGAUCAUAACAAAAGGUGUAGAGCAGGAUCUGCCCAGAUCAUGGGGCAACAGCAAAGUUUAGGUACUGCACUAUAUGCUUUCCUUUUUAGAAGGUUGCCGAGAUUCGGUUGUGUUUUAACCUCCUUUACAGCAUUUCUGCAACUAGUGGGAGCCAUAAAUCACUACGAGUGUUUCAUUGUCCAACAGAAAAUGUGGUGUCAUUUUUGAAUCCCAGUGGCUAUGGGAAUCGUGCUUGGGAUUGAUUGAAAGAGAUGGUGGUGUUUUUGGAUUAUUAGAGCAAGAUAAUAAAUGAUGAUGAAAGUCAUCUUCUUCGAGGCGCAAUAAUAGAAGUUGAUUACCAGAACUUUUCAAUGUUCCCGAAAGGGUAGAGAGAGAAACUAAUGAAUGGUUUGAACUUGAAAAACCCGACUGCAAUUUCCUUUGGAUUGCAAGUGGAUGGAUCUUGAGAUUUAUAGUGAAGGAACUCUUGUGGUGCAAUGCAUCAUGAGUCCACGCUACUGACCCCACAUGUCCGAAUUUCCACCGAUUUAUUUUCCCCGUUAGUGUUUACGUAAUUAACAUGGGAUUUUCAACUAUCUUUGUCGACAUUCUUCAAAACCAGUACCCCGAAUUUCGAGUGAUAUAAAACGAAAUCCCAUGUUAAGCAAAAGCCGGCGUCAAAUUCAAAGUAAGCAUUCUUACCAGAAGAUUCAAAGUAAAGCCUGUAAAGUGCUCUUUUGAUCACUUUCACAAUCACCACGGGCCACAAGAUUGCCUUCUUUGUUUUCUCUUAUUCAUACUACUGUUAGCAUCCCACAAAUCCGUUGCAACUUUGAUUUCUCGGCUCUAGUUUGAUUAACGACAAAUUAUUCAUAUAAACACUAAGAAAUUUAUAAAAGUUUUAUUUCUCAGAGUCUUGUCUUAUCCUUCAAGAUUAAUUAACCAUAUAAGACCAACCCAUUUAACUUGAACAAAAUUCAUUUAUGAAAUUUCAAAUGUUUGCGUUAAUGAAAAUGAAAAUGAUGUGCAAUUUGUAUUUUAGCGAUUAUAUAGAAAAACUAAGGUAUGGAUUCAAUAUUUGAGCAAUUUAUAUUAGAUGUUAAAAAAAAGGAGCAAUUCAGCUUAAAUUCAAAACUUGAAAACUAAUUAUUCUAAAAAAAAAAAAAAUAGAGGCGGUGAUGUAAUAAUAUGGACUGUCUUGUACAAGUACUUGGUCAAAAAAAUUUUAAAUUGUUCUUACAAAUUCAUGUACUAGUUGAUAAAAGCGUUGUGUCAACGCAUAUUGUGAAUAAUUAAUGUGAAUGAAAGUAAUAAAACCAAAUAUGCCGCAUGACCUGGUAUACAGUCAAAUCAUGAGUUAUACUGAGUUGAAUUGUAUCAUUUUCAAGAUUAUUUAAGAAAAGCAUUUAUUCCAAUUUAAAUUCAAAAUCAACUAGAUCUCGAAUUGACCUAUCAAAUCAAGUUGAACGUGACAAUUUGUCAAAAAAAAACAUUUCAUGGAUUUUAUAUUAGACUUUUUUUCUCUUGAUUUUUUUAACCAUAAACAUUAAAAGGAAAAUACAUUUCAAUAUCAAAUACAUUGAUACAUUACUUUUAAACAUUAAAUAUAAUAAAACAUAUCAUUUUUAUCUUUGUCUUUGUGUAUUCUAUUCCAAUAUAAUAACUAAACGAAAGUAUGUUAUUGCCUCUGUACACUUAAAUUAGUAUAUCAAAUUGUGCUAUAAGUUCAAACUACGACCUCAAACAUAAUAUAUGUCAUCAAAUUCAAUUGCAACAUGCUAAUUACUAGUCAUAAACUAGAUUUUGAUACAGAAAGAAUGAUUUUGCUCAUAAGAAUGGUUUCUUAUACUUUACUUUUUAAGGUUUUGAUAUAUACAAGAACUACUCACAGAUUAUGAAAUUUCAUGAUUUUACAAUUUUAUAAUCUGAUUGUUUGAACCAUCGAGUAUUCUAAUUAGAACCCUCAUUUCAACACCCUUGCUUGCAAAAGGAAAAGGAGAAUCUUGCGCUUCUGGGAAAUGCAUAGAUUUGUCACCAAAAAGCAGGCCGCAGGCCGUCGUGUAACAAUGUUGCAUCAGACGUGUAUUGUCUUGGCGUGGCAUCCCCUGGGCUUGCUAUAGACUUGAUCCAAUAUCAUUCCCUCUGCCCGUUGGGCUUCAUGUUUAAGAAUGGAUUUAAAAUGUUUUUUUAAAUAUUUUUUAUUUAAAAAUAUAUUAAAUAUUUUUUACUUUUUAAAUAUUAUUUUUAAUAUCCGUAUAUUAUCUAAAAAUACUAAAAAAAUAUUAAUUUAAAGUGAAAAAAAUAAAAAAAAAAUCAAUACCUUAAUCUUUAAUUUAAUGCACAUCAAACUGGGCAAAAUAUAACUCCUAACUGUUUAAAACAAUAAGAUUAAAGUGCAAAUGCUCUUAACAUUUCUGAACUAACCAAGUUUGCAUUAUUAUGGUUGAGGAAUAAUAGCACUUAAAUUGACAACAAAAAAGAAAAGAAAAGGAAUAUUAUCUAAGAAAAUAACCAAGUUCAAAAAAAUAAAUCGGUUUACAGAUAGCACCAUGGAAGAAAGGAAUACACAUAAUAGCUGAUUUUCACCAACAUAACAAAUCACACUGCACCUCGCAAGCUUGCAUCUCUCUCGCUUGCUCGCAUGAAUAUUCAAUUCCCUAGAUAUUUUAGCAUAAACCAAUUUCAAAAAAGAAGCCACAAUUUCUGUACCUUCUAAUUAGUCUGCAGUACCAUUCUCUCUUCUGACCCACUGCCUGACUGAUCUUCUUGAAUUUUGUACUCCCUGCUCCCUCUUGCCUGAGUUCCUGGGCUUUCUGGCACGAGGUCUAUUUAAUGAACCAUCGAAUUUUGUUUCCCUUGAUGCUCAGUGGUUUCUUAGUUUACUGUCUGAGCAGGUGAUGUCAACUGGACAGUUACCCAUUUUUCCUUCCAAUACUCCAUGCACAUCUCAUAACCCCAGUUUGUUUUAAGAAAAAUUAAUAGCAUGGUAGUUAAAUAAACAAUGUCUUCUUGAUUAAAAAAAUGUUAAUAACCAGGCAGCAUAUGUUCUAUAAAAGACUUUGAUUUCUCGUAAGGUGCUGGCGGAGUCCUAGAAGCAACAUCCGUAAGGUGCUGGCGGAGUCCUAGAAGCAACAUCCACAAAUUCCUGGUCGGCAUCGUUUAUGGUUGAGACGAGGACGGUAUUUGAUCGUCUUCGAACCCCAACUUUCAUUCUUAAUUAAUAAAAACAUCCUUGCAAAUGCUUUCGCAGUUGUUCAUCUUUCAUAAAUCCAAGAAUUUCAUCUCUGACUAUGAAAUACGAAUGCCCCCGACUGUCCCUAUUAAUCAUUACUCCGAUCCCAAAGACCAACACAAUAGGUUCGAAAUCCUAUGAUGUUAUCCCAUGCUAAUGUAUCCAGAGCAUAGGUUUGCUUUGAGCACUCUAAUUUCUUCAAAGUAACAGCAUCGGAGGCCCGGCCCGGCCAGUUAAGAUCAGGAGCGCAUCGCCGGUAGAAGGACAAGGCGACCCAAUUAUAAGACAUACCAUUCUGAUUUCCCAUGUCUCAUGUCUCUGACAAUGCAUUCACUGCCAUAGUUCGAAGAAAAAGGAAAAAGGAUGACAGGGAAGAUAUUUAAAGACCAAAAUCAAAACUAAAACCUAGUAAUAGUAUCAUCUAGAAGAAAUAAAUCAGAACUCUACCUGUGAAAGCAACGGAAACAAGACAUCAACUUCAUAAAUGGCAAGGCUUCAUGCUGUUCAUCAUCUGGGACUAAAGGGUACAAACACAGAGGACAAUCACCAUCUGGGUGAUUCAUAACAGAGAGCUUCUCCACCACUUCCUAAAAAUGUAGAAUCAAUGAAUCUUUGCAACUUCUAUAUAUCAGUCAAAGAAAAACUGCAAAUAUACGCAAAUUCACUGCUGAAGCUAUGUGUAUUUUAGAUUGGGCAAUUUGUAGGCAUUCCCGUCAAGGUGCUGGAAAUCUAGUAAAUAGACAUUCACUGUUAUUUUUGGUGCAGCGUCCAAGUAAAACACAAUACUUGGUAAAAUAGCAUGCCAUGAAUGUGUUUUCACCCUGGUUACUGUGCAUAUAGAUUCUGCCAAAAACUAUUAUUAAAUUACAAUCCAGGAUCUUUUAUUACCUUGAUGAUUCUACACCAACAACCUAUUUUAGCACUGCAGGCAAUUCAAACUUGUGCUCAUAUCUUGAAAAUAGCAGGGAUUGUGAUAUCAAAUCCUCAACUGAAAUGUUAAACAGAAAGAAUAAGAAGCAUCAGAGCACAAUCUUAAUGCUAAUUGGCACAAGCCAAAUAUUACAGCGCAUGCAUUUACUUUGCAGAACAGCCAAUUACUUAAAGACUACCGACAGAUAUAUGACAAAUGGAAAAAAAAAUCAAAUUAAGAUGAGGAUUUUCUACUGUUUAUCAAAUACGAGGCAAGUAAUAUGGUUUUCUCAAUUCGUUAACACAAUAUAGAAUAACAAUAUCAAUGCAGAAAAAAUCCUUGUUAUGUGAAAAAUGCAGCAAUUACCUCGCAAAGUGCUACAAGCAUCAAACAGGAGGAAAGUUCACAUGCUUUGUGUUGUCCACUAGUUAUCAAUUGCUUUUGCCUUUCUCCAUCAAGACCCUUGGAUUCUAUGAGAUCAAUAUGCAGAGGUUUGCUUGGAUACUACCAUGGAAUGUGGACAAAAUAUAGUAUCGAAACAAAGGUAUUCAAGAUUUCACAAACAAUCAACAGCACACAUGGAGCAUCCAACCCUAAUAAUUUUCACCACUUAGGCAGAAAAUACAUACAAAUUGACAUCUCCUUGAUGUUGUAAAAUACCUCAGGCCUUGCUUUUAUCCCAAUAACUGCUUCCACAAACAGAGAGAAAAACACAAUGAAGUCCUAUAGAACAGUUAUUUAUGCCUCUUCUCUGUGUCAAAAGAAAUAGUACAAAAACAGUCAUCAAUCUCCAUAAAAAAGUUACAACCGCUGGUAAAAAGAAAAAAAAAAACCGACGCAUACCCUUAAAUGCAAUGAGAGACGGAAAAGGAUGAAUCUUUUUCUAAUAGUAUAAUUCACACUGCUACAGCUGGAUGCGAAAUCAAGAACCCUUAAGCUGAUUUUUAGCUAUGAGAAUUGAUAUGCAAUAAAACUAGUGCAAUUUUCCCUUCCAAUUCAUAGUGCCAAUACCUCUCUUAUAUCCUUACACAAAAAUAUUCUACGAAAAUACAAUAAACAAAUUAGAAUCAUUAUUCUAAAUAAAUGGGUUUGCUCAAAGGAAUCAGCACUAUCAACUUUUAACACACCUUGAUAAGAAUCGUUUUUAUUUCCCAGACAAUUUUUUCUCGAUUUUUGUUCUUCAAAACCAAAAAAUAAGCAGACCCAAAAAGUAAAAGAAGGGGAAAGAGAGUGGUGGACCUGUUGAGAGGAGAUAUCAACGGUUCUGGGUUUGAUGUGGAGGUGAAGAUGAGGAGGGAAAUAAUCGAGAAUUGCACAAUCGUCGCCGUACACGACCAGCACCGCUUCUACUUCCAUUAAAAACUUCUUCUUCUGCCAUUCCUUUUUCUUCAACAGCUGCCUAUGCAGUCUGUCCCUUCAAUUUUUUAUUUUCCGGGGUAAAUUUUGAAUUUUUUUAUUUUGAAUUUAUUUUAAUGUAUUAAUAUUAAAAAUAAUUUUAAAAAAUAUUAUUUAAAUAUAUUUAAAAUAAAAAAUUAAAAAAAUUUAAACAAACAAUUUAUACAACAUUUUUAAAAAUCUAUUUAAUCUUCGACAACGAUUGAGAAAAUAGUUGUCGGUCAUGUUUUAUAUGCAAUUUAGUUUAAUUAAAUAUUAUUGAAUUUGUUUAACUAACUAAUUAUUAUAUUUAUAAGAAUUAUAUAUUCAAUAAAACCUUGAAUUAUCUAAAUUUUCUCAAUCAAUUUAGUUAACUGAUUUUUAAGAAUUUCUAAGAACACGAUAAUUUGGGUAAUUACCUGAAUUUCUUUAGGAACUCAUUUUAUAUAGAAUAAUAAUAACAAUAAUAACAUUACCAACAACAAAACACUAAAGAUAAUUUAAUAUUUAGACAUGGUCAUAAAAUAUUGCAAAUUAAAAUUAAAAGUGUUAUAUGUAUUUUUUUUAAUUUUAUUAUUCAAUAAUUUAAUAUUUGUUAAUCUUUUAAUUUUAUCAUUUAAUAUUAUAUUUUUUAAAAAAAAAAAAAAAAACAUACUAGCAAUGCUUAAAUGUUUUUUUCACGUUAAAAAAUUUAAUUCAAUACACAGCUAGUGAUCUGAACUAACAGGAAUAUAAAAAUUUAAGGGAGAGUUCUUAUCCAAUGCUAACACUGUAGAGAUUCCAAUGCAGACGAGAACAACGAAUGUUGAGGAUAUUGCCAGUACUGUCAAGUAGCAUUUGAGCAAAAACAUAUCUACUACUUAAAAAUAAAGAAAAUUUAAGCAUGCUUCUGUAUUUGGUUCCAUGUUCAUGCUGUUCAACUCGAUUCAAAUAUAUCCAAGUUCCAACGUAACGAUAUAAUAUGAUUUAUGUUUGCUUCCCCAGCUUGCUACCUUCUUCUUCUUCUUCUUCUUGUGCAAGUACUCACAUGCAGAUAUUUAGCACCUCAUUGAGAGCAGACACAUAUUAUAUUAUCUUGAUCCAUGAAUGUAUGAUCCAGCACCUGAUGUUCAGUUUUUGGGAGAGGUAGGGAAUAUUUGAGAGGUAAGAACAUGAAUUUUUCUCAAGUGAGAUGGUUACCAAGUUCUGAGUCUCGAUAAAUGAUUGUUUUGCACUGCGAAAUCACGAUUUCAAAUUCUCUUAUGGAAUUAUUUAAGCUAUACGGAUAAAUAAAAUAAAACUAUAUGGAUGGUGGGCCUUCAAAUGGUAGACUCGUAGUCAUUCUUUAUUAAAGUCUUUCGUCAACGUUUUUUUUUUUUUUGUCCUGUAACUUUGUGAUAUCUCCUUGCAGCCACAUAUCAUCUACCCCGGUACUGGUACUAGUUUUUGUGUGGACGAUCUGUUCAGUUUCAUCACUAACUCAAAUAUUCAGGUUGCUUUCUUCUUCUUUUUUAUGAAAAAAAAUCCAGGUUUCUGCUGGUGCCAAUGGUGAAUACUAAUUUUAACAAGCCAGAUCAAGUUUGGCCUUGAGAAUAUGCAAGUAAUUUUAACCGCUACAAAUUUGAUUUCUCUCCAAUUCUUUCGAUUCUAACUUUGAUUUGUCCUUCCCUUGAUUGAAAAUGCACACAGGUUAAGGCAAGAAAAAAGAGAGCAGCAGCAGAGAUGCUGGAGUUUAGCUAUAGCAGUUUAAAAUGCAUAAUCCAGGCGUGAUUCAAAGCUUGCAGCUUGAAGAUUUCAGCGGUGGAGUUGCAUAUAUGAUUGAUAGAUGACAAGCUGCAAGAAAGAGAUGAGGUCCGGACAACACUGGAGCAUGAUAAUUAAGGUACGUACAAGUCUAUACUGAAAGCUUGGCUCAUAAAGAACUACUUUGAUCUGAUGUUUAGCCGUUUCGUUCUUGCAAAAUCAAAUAAAAAGAGAGGAGACAAAACAAAGGUUUCCUCUAACUAUGUCCCUUCUCUUUCGUUAACUAGUCUGAGAUUUCUGUACUGAACUGCUCAGCAUUAACCUUCAAGGUUUUCAUGUGGCCAGAAUUGAACAAUAAAAUUUCAUUUCGAGACCAAACCCUCAUACGGGCCUUUUUAUUUGGGCUUUGGCCCGUUAUUUACCCAAAGAAAAGUCCAUGAAGUUUUUUUUCAUGGCUUCAAUCAUUGAAACCUUAGGCUAGUCGAUAUCGAACGAAGUCUCCGAGAUGUCUCUUAGACCUUGGGGUGUCGAUCUCGAACAAUGUCUCCAAGAUGUCUCCUCGCAGCCUUCAUCUUUUUAUUGACACUUUUAGUCUCCGUAUGAAAUUCACAUCUUCCCUACUUUCUCUGAAUAUUGGCUAGCCUUUCUUUCUUACGUCGUCCUCUGCUUCAUUUUCCAUUCUAGCAAGCUAUGGACGCCAAUAAGAAGGAGCUGGAUCCAUCUGACCAAGAGCUUGAAGGUACGUGUGUUUAUAUCUAUAGAUCAAUAUUGAUCUGCAGGUUUGAUUUUGAGCUAAACGAUUUUAACUGAUUUUAACUGCUUUCUUGAUUGCAAAUACUUCAGCUUCAUUUGACUCUUUUGCACCAAUUGUUCAUGAGAAAACACACUUAAAAACGCCACCAAUUCCCUUUGUUUUCGGCUUUCCAACCAAAGAGGAACCAUGGACAUUCCAUGUUCCAGGACUAGAGAGUAUAUAAAGGACUUUACCUUUUUUUUUUAAUCAUUUGAUCAACCUAUAUCUUAUUAUCUCCAGAUCUGUUGCAGUGGGAUUAAAGUAGGAUAGAUAGGUUUCAUGAUUGCUUUUUAAGAUGUCAACAUUUAAAAUUUAAGAUGAGCGAAGAUUGAAAUGAAUUUUUUUUGUUUAUAAUAUAGUUUUUUUUUUUUAUCUUAUUUCUAAACGCACAGUUGCGUGAAUACAAAUUUUCUAGCCGUGAGCUACAAGCCUUAUUUUAUUAUUGAAAAGGAAAUCAACAAGUUCAUUUUUUUAAAAAGCAAAACAACAAAAUUUCCUAUUAUAUAUUUAUUGACCAAUAAGUUCAUAUUUAAUAUUUUCUUUCCAAAAAAAUUUAUUUUUUCACAUACUUUCUUCAUUGGUACCCUCUAGCAUCUUACAUUAUCAAUGUUUCAUUCUCUCCUUCACAGCCAUAAAUUUAUUAAGAGUAAUUAUUGUACUCAAGCACAACUAUCCUUACUUUCUGCUGAAAAAAUAAUGCAUAUAUCAUCAUCUUUUAUUUUCCAUAGCAUGUCAAUUGUUAGGGUUCUCUUUUUAACUCAAUUUUCUUUCGAUCAGUGAGGCAAUAAAUUUGUUUCGAAAGAUUUUAGUGUUUUGUUUUCCAAAAAAAAGUUUUAAAUUUUUAGUUGACAUUUCAUGUUUUGACGGUUCAUUUAGAAAACGUUUAAAGAAUUGAAAUUUUUUGGAAUAAAAAUUCAAAAAUGAACUUAUUGAUGACACGUAUUAUUAAGGUAGGAGGUGCAGUGUCCUGAGAGAUUUCUAUACAGGAAGUAACCAGGAAAAAACGAAAAUCAUAUGCAGAGGGGGGAAAUAAAGGAAAGAUAAAAAAAAAAAAACAAAUGAAGGAUGGCUCCUUGAAUUCUUACUAUACACAUAUACAGCACCCGCUUGAAGCUCUCAUUGGCAUCCUUAUUCCUUAACGCAAGUUUUUAAAGGUUUUCUUCUUAGUUUAAACGCAGCUGAAGCUAAAACCUUUAUUGGAAACUCAAACUGCACGCAGGCAGAAUUAUCGCAGGGGAGAUCUCAUCCGUGAAUCAUCGAACACCCUGUCCAUCAGCUCCACCUAUAGAAGGAAGAUUAAGCAAGAGGGAGAUUGAUAAGAGAUACAACAUGAACAGGAAGGUAUAAUGACUGGCUAUUAUUUAUUAGAAAAUAAUAUAAAUUAUAUCAUCAAUCUUAUCUAAUAAGUUAAAUUAUUAAAUUGAGAUAAUUUUUUAUAUGAUAUCAGAGUUUUAAUAAUUAAAUGAUCACAAGUUUGAAUCUCACUAUCCUUAUUUAUUUGAUAAAAAUUAAACAUAAUAUAAUGUAGAUUUAUACAAGUUUUAAGUCUAAAUAAUUUUUACUUGAAGGGGUGUGUUAAAGAGUAAUAUAAAUUAUAUCUUGAAACUCAUCUAAUAACUUAAAUUAUUAGAUUAUUAGAUUGAGAUUAUUUUUUAAGACUCCCUUUCUAUUCCGUAAUUGGUGCUCUUUCUUUUGUUUCCUUCGUGACUAGUCUAUUUAUUGUGCAGAAAAACGAGGAUAUAAUUAUGAAAGCGGCCGAAAGCCUGGAAAAAAUUUAUGGUGAAUUGGAGCGUGAAAAUGACCGUUUAAAAUGGCAAGAAAAUCAGUUGGAGGUCAACGCAGAUGAGGAAUAUGGAAAUAUUGUUAGCUGGUUGGAGGACAAUAAUGCAGGACAAAAUACUGAUGUGCAGGGGGCAAGCGCGUAUGCCGAUUUUCCAAUUGCAAAUGCAGAUGUGCGUAUAAAUUUUUUUGGUUUAUAAUUAUAUAUAUAUAUAUAUAUAUAAGUAAUAUAUUCAUUUUUUUGAAAUAAAAAAAUAAAAAAAUUCUACCCACAGCAUCGCGGCGGGUCACAUAGUAGUGUUAAGCUAUGCUUUGUUUUCAUUGUUUUGCAGAUCAAUACUAUUUUGCAGUUCAAUACUAUUGGAGAAAUAUCAAUGGGUCAUGAUGGGCUUAAACGAGAAAUGAACCAAGCCCCGAUCACGAGCAGUAAGUUCAGUUCCACCUAGAAAAAAAGUGUAUCUAUUACAUUGUUUUGAUGGCAUGCAUUUCUAUAAUAACAAUAAACAAACAACCAUUUAAUGUCUGUUUUAAUACUUUAGAAAACUUUAAAAUAUAUAACUGGAGUCAAUACAUUAUAAGGUAUGUGUUUAAAGACUUCAAACUUAGGAGGAGGCGUUUAUUUUGUGGAAACGUAAAAUAUCUUAUAUUUUAUAUGAAAUAUAUAAUAUCAUAUUGAUAAAAGGUGAUUUUAAAUAAUGAUGGUAAUGAACUUCAACAUGGUGCUGCUGCUGCACCAAUCUCUCAAUCCUCUUUUACAGGUGCUAUUGCCAGCAUAGUUCCUAUGAACUCUUCUCUAGAUAUCAUGAAUAGAUCUGUCAUCAUUCCUCUUGCUAAUACACAACAAGUAAUCUCCUUACGACUCUUUAAUACCAACUUCUUGUAUUAAAAGAUGCAGAUGAAACCUUUUUUUUUAUGUCAGGUGUGUAUUCUUUUAUUGAUGGCGCGCACCUCGCCAUGUUCUCCCUCUCAUCUUAUAUCUAUUGCCACAUCCUUACCAUUAGUUAAUCCUUCAUAUUUAUCAUGGAAACAACAAGAUCACUUAAUCAUGAGUGUUUUUUUAUCCUCGCUUUUCACAGAAAUUCUGCAUCUAGUUGUGAAUUGUAAAACUUCUCAAGAAAUCUAGACAACACUGGAAACUACCCUUACUUUCCCUUCAAACUCACGGAUUAUGCAACUCCACAGUGCAUUCCAAGAUUUAUGACAACACGAUGACUCUGUCAGCACUUAUUUACAGAAGACUAAGGCCUAGUUAGAUGAACUUGCUGCCACUAGCAGACCAAUAUUCAUGGCCGAAUUUAAUUUGUAUGUGUUUCGGGGUUGCGCAGCGAUUUUAAGGAUUUGGUAACCAGCCUGUCCACUAAGGCUAAUCCCAUCUCUUCCAUAGACCUCUAUAGCCAUCUCCUCACCCAUGAGUUUCUCUAUAAGGCUUCACUCCAUCCUGCUGUAACAGCUCCUCUGUUACCAACUCCAUCACAGCAGCCAUCUGCAUUCUUUAGGCAGCGUCAGUUUGGUUCUAGUACUAAACGAAGGGGCUGGUUUCGUGGGGUUUGGAGAUAGAGUAAUCGUAGCUACAAUCGUGGGAAUCAUGGCUAUAGUUCAGACUCUAUCUUCAGCACUAAUAGUUAUGGUUCAGGUCCGAAAUUUGGACAACAGCAAAACCGUUGUACUAAUUAAGUCUUCAUUUCAUCCAUAAAGAUAUGCAUGAACGUACGUGUACAAUGUUCUUCAUCAUUGGCUUCCAAAGGCUCUACCCAGUGCUUCUUACGUACCUUUAUAUAUACAUGUUUGUCUUAGCAAUCUGACAUGCAUCUCCUAAUAAGGGUUUUGUUCUUCUAGAGUUCAAUGUUCAAGUAAACAUGUUCACUAGAAACUGAAUAGAAAUGUGUGUGUCUAUAUAUAUAGAUGCAGGUACUUUCUCUAGAGAGAGCGCAUCCAUGAAUGUUCAACUUGUAGGAAGUUCUGGCUUAACUGAUAAGCGAGAAAAGAAAAGGAUAGCUGACAAAAAAUGUCGUGAAAAAAAGAAGGUAUAUAUUCUCCUUUGUGUUAUUUCUGUAAAUAUUCUCCUUAUAUAUAAUUACUCUAUUUUCUUUUCUAAAUAUAUAUUUUUGUGCAGGGUAAGAUGAUUCAAGCCGAGAACACGAUUAAAGAGCUCCGAAUAAAAAUUAAGCUGCUGUUACAGAACGUCAUUAAAGGAAAAGCAACUCAGUUGCAAAAACGCCGCUCAACAUCGCAACAUCAGUGAAGCUGAUGACUUCAAAAAAUGAGAGAAUAAUUGCUCUGCUGGACAGGUUUUGAGUGGUCAUCUGGUAAGGAUGCCCUUCUACUUCCAUGCUACUCUUUUCUAUUUUUAUCUUCUAAUUUACUAGAUAAUGUUUUUAAAAUCCACAUCAUUGAAUUUAAUUUGAUAUUUAGAAUUGUGUUCAAUAUUGGAUAAUUAUUUAAAUAUAUGAUUGGUAUCAUUCUAUUUUUAUAUUGAUAGAAUAUUAUUUGGUAUUUAGAAAAACUUUUCAUCGAUAAUUACAAUAUUAAUGGAAUUGCCAACGAAAACAUGUCGUCAACAAGUUGCUUGUCGAGGAUUUAAGUUCCGUUAGUGUUUCUAUCGACAACUUCCCUACAUGUUGCUAAAGUUAGAAGUUGAGUCAACUAUUAUUUUUAAAAUGGUUUCAUAAUAAAAACAUGGUUCUUUGUACAAAUCAAUAUAAGUAUUUUUGAAGAUUUUUUUUUAAGUAGAUGUAUUAUCACAUUUUUAUAAUGAAACUUUUUAUUCUUACAUUUACACAUGAACAUUUAGUUUCACCAUCACUAAUAUUUUUUAAAUUAAAAAUAUAAAUUAAUAAAAAUCCUCAACUUUUUAUAAUUUUAUCUAUAAUCCUUCAAAAAAUCUCAAUACAUCUAAGAACAAUAAUAAUUCAUUAAUUAUAAAAUCUAUAUAGAAUAUAUUGAUAACAAUAUUUAUUAAUAAUAUAACUGUCAAUUCAAAAUUAAAUUUUUAUCAAAAAUAAAUUCAUAAUCCAAUAACUAAUUAUCAUUUCUAUAAAACCAAUUUUGCAUCAAAAUAUAAACUAAACAAUAAAACUAACAACAAAUAAUAACUCAACUAACUAUCCAUUAUUUAUUUAAUUUAAACUUAUUCAAUCUAAAUUUAUACCUUUUAAUUAUUAUCAAUUUUCUUAAAUUUUCUAAAUUUCUAACUCGACAAAAUGUAAGUGGCAUCGCAAUUGAAUAACCCAUCAUUUUUUCAAUAAUAACACACCUAAGUUAUAAAAUUAAACUUAAUUUUAUAAAAUAAAAAAUAAAAUUAGUUUUCUCUUAAAUCCCAAAAAAAUUCUAACAUAUAUACACCUUAUAUAUUCAUGCAAUAAAAUUCUAGGAAAAAGUUGUAAAACACUUAAAUAUAUAAAUAAAAAAUACUAUAAUUUUUUUAAUAAAUUAACCUAAAAAAAAAUGAAUUAAAAAAAAAGUAUAUUUAUUUACUUGGUGUCGCAAAGUCUUACAAUAAAUUAAAACAAGAGAUCAGGAAUGCUAACACUAUUGAUAAAUAUAAAGAAGAUAGAUGGUGGUUGGGGUACUGGCUGAAUUUUUUAGGAUGGUGGUCGUAUUUAUUAGAAAAUGAGGAGGGGCUGCUUUUAGAAAAGAAGAAGGAUAGAAAGAAGAAGUCGAGAGAGUUUUGGGUUUAAUUCAUUUAAAUUUGUUAAUGAAAUAUCCAUUGAAAAAUAUUGUCGUGUCAAAUUUCUAAUAGAAUUGCAAUUUUUAUUGUUUUUUUUUAUUAUUAUUUUCUCUACUAUGUUAGAAAUUCCAAUGGAAAUGUUUCGUUGUUACUUUCGUUGGAUAUUAAGAUUGAAUAUUUUUUUUUGAAUUUGAUAAUUUUAUGGUAGUUUGAGUAAUGAUUUUAAAAAAAAAAACUGUAACCAUUUCAACGGUUUAGAUUAUGCAAACAUUAUUGGUUUACACAAAACAACUCCAUAAUAUGAACACGCUAAAAUGAAAUUGUUUGUCGAAGCUGAAACUUAAUGCACUGUUAACAAACUAUUAGGACUAAUAUGCGGCAGAAUGCAUAUAUCCUUUGACAUGCAGUUGGAAACAUAAACGCUUGUGAAUCAAAAGCCUUUAUAUAUAUAAAAACUAUUAAUAAAUCAAUAGAGAAAGACCGAAAAGGCACAAGCCUAAAACGAAAGGAAACAAAAUCGUGAAUACGAUGAGAUAAAUUAAGAAGGUUAAAAGUAUUAAUAGUGAUUGUAACAUAGAAUGAUGUUGUAUAUUUUCUCAAAACAUCUGGAAAUCAAGCUUGUAAGGUUGCAACUAUGUUGUGUUAACCGCUUUGCUUCUCUCAUUAUCAUAAAUCACAACCAACCUAAUAAUUUAUUUUGCUUGUAAACAAUAUUUGGCAGCUGCAAAACUCUGGCCAUGGAAGCACACCUUUCAACACGGCUUGUUGUGCUUGACAGAUUUUUCAUAAAGAUGAGACAAAUUAAGAUGGUUAGAAGUAUUAAUAGUGAUCGUCUUUUCCACACUGGUUAUAGCAUGGAAUGUAGGGAUCUUUUUUUUUUUGUUGUGCAUUCUCUCAUAAUUAACAUCUGGAAAUCCAUCACCUAAGGUUGCAACUGAGCUGCAUUUAACCCUUUUACUUCUCCCAUUACUUCUCCCAUCAACCUAAUAACGGUUGGAACACUAUCACUCGAUAACAGAGGAAGGAUUUAAUUAACAGUCAUAAUUGAUUCUGCCAACAUAUUUUGCUGAAAUACAAAACACUAAUUAAUAGUAAUCUCACACCUUUCUUUAUCAGAAUCCAUACAAUAAAUAUAAACAUUGUACAAUGUCGUUUACAAACUUCAAAGUUCUUAAUUACCAUUUAACUCAUUAACACUAACACAAACUUCAUAGUAUUUCUAACUUUCAUGUUUAUUUUUUAAUUAUUUACUUUAAUAUACUUAUUAAUUCUAGUAAACAAGUUUAAUAACUAACAAUAAUUUCUUUUGCUAAUAAAAAACUUUCAGCUGCAAAACACCGGUCAGGGAAGCACAUCUUUCAACCCACAGGUGCAACUCUUCACUAUUGUUCUCUUUCUAUAACAUGGCUUGCAACUCAUUUUUCUUUUCUCUUUAUAUAUAAAUCAUUAUCUGUAACUAUGUACAAAAAUUUUAUAGUUGCAGCUCCUACUUAAAUUGAUUGGAUUUGGCACUAGAGAGACAAUGCUACAUGUUCAUCAACCACCAGUUUAUCAGUCUGGAACAACAAUGGGGUCAGGAGGCCCGACCAUUGAAGAGUCAUUGGGGUUGCCUCAAUCACAUCUCCUUCAAGGAUGGGAACAUGUAUGCCUCCAUUUUUCUUUAUAAUUACUUGCUUCCCAUUUUUAUUUUUCACCUAUUAUCAUAAAAUCACAACCAACCUGAUAAUUUCUUUUGCCUAUAAAAAAAAACGGCACCUGCAACACUCUGGUCAGGGAAGCACAUCUUUCAACCCACAGGUGCAACUCUUCACUAUUGUUCUCUUUCUAUAACAUGGCUUGCAACUCAUUUUUCUUUUCUCUUUAUAUAUAAAUCACUAUCUAUAACUAUGUACAAAAAUUUUGUAGUUACAGCUCACAUUUGAAAUGACUGAAUUUGGCACUGGACCGACGGGGCUACCUAUUCAUCAGCCACCAGUUUAUCAAUCUGGAACAACAAUGGGGUCAAGAGGCCCGACCAUUGAAGAGUCAUUGGGGUUGCCUCAAUCACAUCUCCUUCAAGGAUGGGAACAUGUAUGUCUCCAUUUUUCUUUAUAAUUACUUGCUUCCCAUUUCUAUUUUUCACCUAUUAUCAUAAAAUCACAACCAACCUGAUAAUUUCUUUUGCCUAUAAAAAAAACGGCACCUGCAACACUCUUGUCAGGGAAGCACAUCUUUCAACCCACAGGUGCAACUCUUCACUAUUGUUCUCUUUCUAUAAUAUGGCUUGCAACUCAUUUUUCUUUUCUCUUUAUAUAUAAAUUACUAUCUAUAACUAUGUACAAAAAUUUUGUAGUUGCAGCUCCCAUUUGAAAUGACUGAAUUUGGCAUUGGACCGACGGGGCUACCUAUUCAUCAGCCACCAGUUUAUCAGUCUGGAACAACAAUGGGGUCAAGAGGCCCGGCCAUCGAAGAGUCAUUGGGGCUGCCUCAAUCACAUCUCCUUCAAGGACGGACACAUGUAUGUCUCCAUUUUUCUUUAUAAUUACUUGCUUCCCAUUUCUAUUUUUCAUGAAGAAAGAAUUACUGAAUUGUCCUGACUAAUGAAUUGCUUCUUGUAAAACUGUCCAACCAUAUGUUUUUAUAGAAUACUGACUUCUUUUUUCUUUUUUUAAUCUUGGAAAAAAAAACAUUUAUGUGAUAGGAAUGUAAGAUCAAUAUGCACAAGAUUCCUAUAAAAAUAAUAAAGAGAGCCAACUUUUUUUAUUUUCGAUCAAGGGCAUAAAUAUAUUUCUACACACAUUUUGAUCCUUUGCUAAUAAUGUAAAAACACUUUUAACAUAACAUUAACUCAUUUUCCUUUUCUCUUUAUAUAUAAAUCACUAUUUGUAAUCAUGUAUAAAAAUUUUGUAGUCGCAGCUACCAUCCGGAAUGACUCCGAACAACACAUUUAGCACUGGAGAGGCAGGCCUACCUGCUCACCACCCACCGGAUUAUCAAUAUAGAACAACAAUGGGGUCUGGAGGCCCGACCAUUGAAAAUCCAAUGGGGUUGCCUCAAUCACAUGUCUCUCAAGGAUGGGCACAUGUAUGUUUUCAUUUUUUUGUAUAAUUACUUGCAUCCCAUUUCUAUUUUACAUGAAGAAAUAAUCAUAAAAUAUAGUCAUGAUACUUGCUUAUUUCUUUAACCUUUCUUAAACUUAAAAGCUGAAUUUUAAAUAGAGCUGAAUCUUUAGUAUAUGUGAAUUUUACACAUGUAGGGGAACCAGGGCCAGGAGCUUGAUGAAGAAACUCAGGAAUUGGAGACAAAACGCAGCUGAAUGGUGAGGAGAGGGACUGGAAGAUUGUUUUCAGGCGUUACUUUUUCUUUCUAGUUUUUCUCGAAGAUUUUGGGAGAUACUAUCAUGGCUUCUCUUGUUUGUUUUAGUUUCGUUAUUUUGAGUUUGGAAGUACUCUGAUGCUAAUUAGUUAUGUUGUGUGGUUAAAAUGAAGUUUUUGGAAUUAAAAUUAAUUAUCUCGCGUAUCAUUAGUAUGAAGGAAUAUAUUACUUGUCGCACGUCGGAAAAUUCAAGUGACAUCGGGCUUUUUUCAUUUUCUUGUUUUACUCGAUUUAAUUCGUUAAAGUCGCCUACUAGAAAACAAAACCCGGGUAUACUAGUCUCAUCAAAAAUUUACUGGUAAAAAACUAGUUGUGAUUAAAAAAAAUAUUAUGCUGCUUGGUGGACUUAAUAUGAUUUUAAAAAUAAAAUUUUAGCCUAAUUUUAAAGCUUUAUAAAUCAUUUAUUAGUUCCCAAAAUAUAUGUAGAUACAUGUUCUACAUUUUCAUGAAAAAUAUAAUUUUUAUUUAUCCUUAAGAUAUUUGUGCAUAUAAACUAAAACAUUAAAUUCAUUUUUUGUUCUCCUUUUGGUUCAAUAACAUACAUAAAAAAAUACAAGCACACACAAACAUCUCUUUUUCUAAUAUUAUUUGUUUUUUCUUUUGUUUUCUUUUACAUCCACACUUCAAAAUACAAACUCAAAACAAAUAAACAAAAAAUUACAUUAAAAUUACAAUAACAGCCCCAAAAAAUCUGGAAUUCACAGGGGACACCUUCUGCAUGCCGGAACAGUGCCUGCGCGUCCGGUUCACGCGCCGCCGCUGCAGACAGACCCGAACACCGGAUCUGGCUCUACUCCGUCUCCUCUUCCCUUCCACGCCUGCUGUGAGGAGUAACGUCACCUGCAAAGAAGAAAAACAACGCAAGCAAAGUUUCGGUUCUUCCCCCCCUUUUUCAAAUCUGUUUUAUCUCUGCAUUCUCUCUGUCUCUGUCUUUCUUCUUUUGGUUUCUCCUGCUCUGUUUUAGGUAGCUGCCGGCGACUGGGAAGCUGCUGUCGACUGUGCUUCGGUCGUGUCUGGCCGCCGGAGCUGGAGGAGAAAGGAGUGUUGGCUAAUCGUCGGUUUCGGUUUGAAAUGGCGCUGGAUCUGGGGGCGCCGUUGCUGGAGAAAAGGGCUGCUGCUGACCGGUUGAAGGAGAUGAUGAAAGUAUUGCCCCGGCGCUGCUGUUCGGCCGCCGCUGGGGUGGAAACCGAAGGGAAAGCAGCCGUUGCUGGAGAGGGAAAGAGAAGGCGACCUCGAGAGAGAGAGACGGCUGUGGGAAAAAUCAAAGGGGGAGCCGUGGUUGGACUUGGGGAACGGCUGAGAGGAGAGGUCUCGUGAGGUGAGGGGAAGAUCGCCUGUGGAGAGGAUGAAGGAAAAAAAGCAGAGGGGUUCUCUGGGGAGGGGGGGCUGUCGGUCGUUUGAGGGAGAAGAGAAAAAAAUCAAAAGGGGAGGUGUGGGGGAGCUGGCGGCUGUGGUUGGAGAAGAAGGAAAAAAUUCCGAUCCAAGGGGUGGCGGCUCCCGGUUAGGGAGAAGAAAGAGUUCAGUUUUUUAGGGUUCUCUUUUGUGUUUUCUCCCCUCUUAAAGUUCAAAAUUGCCCCUCUCCCCUGCAAGUGUUGGAGACCACUAUUUAUUAGAAAAAAAUUACUAGAUUUUUUUAACUUGGUCUCUCAAUUUUCAUUUUUUGUAAAUUUUAUUUUUUUAAUUUUUUGUAUUUAUGAAAACGAGUAAUAUCAACGUCGGUUCAAAGAAAAAAAUCAAUGAUUUUAAAAAAAACACGUGAAAAGUCGAACACGUUUCAAAAACCUUUGAAAAUUUAAAUUUUUUUUUAGAUGACGUUGAAAAUACUAAAAACAAUGUAAAUAUAUUAAAAAUAUAUUUUUUGGAUUUGUGUUAUUUUUUGUUAUUUUUUUAUUUUUCAAAAAUUUUAUAAAAACGAUAGGUCAAAAAUUUGGUAACAACAUGACUGAUGAAAUUACACGAAACCUUUUAGUUAUUUAUUGAUUUGCUCAUCUUUUUUAUUGCUUCAAAAAUUAAAUCUACAAUUAGAAUUGAAAAAAAAAUCUCUUUAACCAUUAAAUCUACUUCUUAAAGUUUAUAAAACUCUUAAUCAAUUACCAAUUAUAUGGUAACUGGUAAUUGAUGUCUUUCUUCUUCUGCAAUUCUCCUCCUCUGUUGCUUGGUGGCGAUUGAGGACACGUGAGAGCAGACAUCACACAGGAUGUCUGACAAACACUGGGCUUUGAGCCCGAUAACAUGGUUGGGGUUACAUACCUCAAAAGCACGGGAAAACUAUCAAAGCUAAUUGCCCGCCGCCCGCGCAGAAUGCCAAUCAAAACGAAGCCUUCAGAAUAUGCAAGAUUACACGUGGCAUGUCUUUAUCCCUUGUAGUUAUUACAUUUGGUCUAGAGUAUGGUCGGUGCAAGGCUGGGUCGUGGGUUUGCAGAUUUAUCUAAAAAUUAUAUUGUUUUGAAUUUAUAAAAUUAAAAUGAUAUUUAUUUUUUAAAAAAUUAAAAAAAAUAAAAUGUUAUUUGUUUGAAUAAAAAUUAAAAAUAAAAUUCUUAGAAGAGCCAAAUCUCAUCCAAAUUUAUUCAAAUCAAUUAGAUCAUAAAUUAACUUAUUAGGUUAUUCGAAUUUACCCAAUCAAUUUUCAAAACAGUUUAAAAAAAAAUUCAACUUCGGUCAAGCUCAUAACUUGAUCAAACAUAUUUUAAUUAACUAUAAAUUAAAAGAUAAGGGGUUUUAGUGUAGCCCUCCUCACAUAGCACUCUUCGUUUGAAUAGUGUUUUGCUUAUUCUUUUUUCCCUUUUUUUCUUUGAAUUUUUUCAAUUAAUACUUUUUUUAUUUUAUCUUUUAACAUUAGAUUUGUUUUUUAUAGAAUUAUUAUACUCUCAUGACAUAGAUUAUGGGUUUGACGAGUUAACUUAAUUUGGCAUAUUAACUCGAUUGACUCAAGCUUUUUUUUUUCUUUUUCUUAAUUAACCUUUUUUUUUUAAUUUCAUCAUGUAUAUUAAGUUAAUUGGAGAUUAGAUUUCAUGAUUGACUGUUAUACUUUUUAUUAUGUUAUUCCAGCCUCAUGAUCUGGAAAUAGUGCUUGAUAAGUUAAUUCGGGUAGACUUAAGUUAUUUUUUGUCAUUUUUUUAAAAUGUUUUUUUUAAUUUCAUCAUUCAACACUAAGCCGGUUAGAAAUCGAGCUUCAUAAUUUUAUUUUAUUUUGCUUUUUAUAAGGAUAUAUUGAUCUCAUGAUCAAGGUCGUAGGUUUUGAUAUUUUAACUCCAGUUAAAUUAGGUUAUUUUUUGUGUUUUUUUCUAAGAGGCUAUCUCAGUUUUAUAACUUGGGUCACGGGUUCUUCAAUGUUGGAUUUUAUUUUUUUAGGCUAUUUCUAUCUAAUGACCUGAGUUGUGGGUUUGACAAGUUAACCUAGUUGACCCAUUUAUUUUACUUUUGUUCAAUCUAAUAAUUUAAUAUUGUGUUUGAUUGAAAAUUAAGUUUUAUGAUUUGUUACGGUUUAUUUUUUAUUAAGUUAAAUCGGUCUCAUGACCCAAUAAUAGUGUUUCGGAGGUUAACACAGGUUGACUUUAUAUAUUUUUAUGUCAUUUAUUUAAUUAGAGUUUUUAUAAAAGUUAUCGUUCAAUAUUAGAUCAGAUAAGGGCAAUUGAAAAUUGAGCUUCGUAAUUUACCUUGAUUUGCUCUGUAUGGGGCUAUCUCAAUCUCAUAAUCAAAGUUGUAGAUUUAGCAGGUUAACUCGGGUUAAAUUUGGUCAUUUUUUUAUGAAGUUAUCUCAAUUUGAUGACUUAGGUCAUGGGUUUGACAUAUUGACUCAAGUUAUUUUUUGUGUUAUUUUUUUAAUCAUAUCUUUCAAUAUCUAAUUUAUUAUAUUUAUAAUUUAUUUAUAUUUUCUUUCUAUGAGGUUAUCUCGGUUUUAUGACAUGUGUCGCGGGUUAAUUCAUGUCAUUUUUUUAGAUCUUUUUUAAUUGAUUUUUUUUCAAUUUUAUCCUUUAAUAUUGUGUUGAUUGGAAAUUAAAUUUCAUACUUUAUUUUUUAUAAGUUUAUUAUAGUCCUAUGACCUCAGUUGACUCAAUACAAUCUAAUAUAUUGUUAUCUUAAUAUUGAAAAAUAUAUCAUUUUAAAAAAAAUAAUCAAACUAUGUUCUACGGGUUAUAUAGAACCUAUAAAUUGUUUUUGAAUCUAUAAAAUCAACUAAAUUAUAUUAAAUCAACCUUCAUACAAUUAAAAAAAAAUUACAAGAAAAAUAUACACAACAUCUGAAUAUAUUUUUAUAUUCAAGAAAAAUUUAAUUUAAUAUGCAGUAUAGGAUAAGCGCGGUUCAAUGAUAUAAUAAAUAUCUAUAGGAUAGACUUUUGGUCUGAAGAAACUUUUGUGGCCACGAAUUGCCUGUACCGGUAAUUGUGCAAUUUUGGAUUUUUUUUUCUUACAUCUAAUUUACGAAUUACUCAUGGAUAAAUAAUUGAGACAUUCAAGUUAAUGAAUUACAUCGAUCGAUCAUCAUGAAAUCGUGAUAUUUUUAUAUUAAUCUCAAUAAACUAUAAAGACUAAGCUAUAACCUAUCCCUUAUCUAUCUUUUAUUUUAUAUUGUAAAGCUAACACAUCGUCUCGAAAGUUUUCCACAAUUAUAAAUAAUAGCACUUUAAAAAAUGAAAGAGUUAUUGGAUUAUCAUGAAUUAUCAAGAAUUCAACUUAGUACUCCGACUAAAAGGUGCCACGUAGGCAUACUAAUUCAUGGCGUUGUGAUGGUAAGACUAUUAUAAAAUAAAAUAAAAGGUAGGGCUUGAAAGAAAAAUAAAAGGUUAGAGGCUCCCAUAAAAAGAAAAAGAAAUACUUUGAAGAAUAAAGAGGCCAAAUCUGAAUAAAACCCUUCAGUUUUAAAUAAUAAAUAGUAAAUAAAACUUUAUGGAUCAUAGACCGAAAAUAAUAAUAAGGUAGCUCCUCACAACAUGGAGGGUCAAAAAGCCAGGGUUGUUUGUUUAUCAAAUUUAAAAUAAAUGCUGCUAUUAAUUUAGGCAUUGUGAUUUUAAAUUGGUGGUCUAAAUUGCAUACAAUAAAUCAAUUUUUUUUUUUUUUUAAAAAAAUGAUUGAUAGUGUUAAAGUCCAUAAAAUUGUAAGUGAAUUAUUGAACAUAAAUAUUGAUCUCUAGCAAUAAUUAAUUUCUUUAGUUGUGGAGAGUGUUAUGUAUGCUUUUUAUAUAUUUAUUUUUUGGAAUUACAUAUUCAUUCAUAUAUCUAAAAGUAUUGAUAUUUAAAUAUUAUACAAGUUUUUUAUUAAUGACUUACUCCAUCACUUUUUUUAGUAUAAAGUUAAUGCAAUGUAGAAGUGCCUUUACAGCACAUAUUCAAUUCCGUGUGGUUAAACUUUAGCACUAUAUAUGUAUAUUAGUGACUUAAUAUAAAAUUAAAUUUUAAAUCUCAUUUAAUUUUUAAUUUUUGUUUGAUUGAAUUUAUUCUUUAGAGAACCGAAUAAUUAUGAAACGCUACAACUUUAUUAUUUUAUAAUUAAAAAAUCAAUAUAAAUAGUUUUUAUUUAAGUAAAUGUAUAUUUUUUAUCAGAUUGAGAGAAUAUGUUAAUAAAUUAAUAUAAAUUGUUAUUGGAACACUUAAUAAUUUAUUUUUUUGGAUUUAGUUGAUAUUUUGAUCAUACUUAAGAAGCACGUUUUGCUAAUUUCUUUCUCUCAUUUUCUUCUUUAUUUAUUUUAUAUUUUUUCUGUAUGAAAACAUAGUUCAAUUAUAGCUUAUUUUGGCUUAAAACAAUGAUAAAAAUUUAAGAGUUCGAUUAAUAUUUGAUUUUCUAAUUUUCAAGUGAGAUUCAUUGAUAUGGUAUCAGAAUCUUGUUAAUCAAGUGAUCAUAAAUUUUUCUUUCACCUUUAAAAAUUAAAAACAUUAAAAGAAAUAAGAUAUGUACAAAAUAUCUUGAAGUUUUAAAGUAUUUACUCAUUCUAUUUGAUAAAAAUUAAGUUAUAUGAAUUGAUGCAAAUUUCAAAUUUAAAAUAAUUUUAUCUAAAAAAGUAUAUUAAAAAAUUAUAAAAAUCAUAUCUUAUAACUUUACUAUAAUUUUUAGGUUGAUAUAUGUCGAAUGAAUGAAUGUAUUUAUAUUAGGGUGUUGAUAGAGUAGACAAAGUCAUUAGUCAAACGAUUACCUUUUAUAGAUAAUUCUUGAUUUCACUCUCUAGAGAUAAUUCAAAUCUCAAUGAUAAAGAUAUAUAUACUAUUCUUUUAUAAGAAGACUACUUUAUACGUCCAAUCAAAUACGGAUUUUAAAGAAUGGACAAAUGAUACUUUUGGUAUGCAUCAACGUUAGAAAAGAGAAAAAAGGAAACCAUGUUAUUAAUAUUAUAUAUGUUAAAUCAAUGAUCUAUAAAAACCAAACACUUGGUCUCUCUCCUUUUCUCCCUGUCUGAUAUCAUGCAUGAUAGUAAUGCUGUUAUGAUGGGAUAUAGUUUAAAUAUCUUCGAGAACAGUGAUCUAUGCGUUAAAAUAAAAGAAGAAGAACAAAAAUAGUUAUGAAUGAUCGUUUUCUUUGCAAAAGGCCCACAAGCUCCUUCUGCUAGCUCCUUCAUGAAUGAAAUCAAUACCGUUAAGAAGACUAAAACGUUGUCGUAAGUAGCCAGGUCAUUUUACUCCACAUAAAAUGUUUCUGUUCUCAGGAGCAGAUCCAAAUGCCCAAGUGAUAUGCCCCCAGAAAUGACCAAUAUACUAGUAUUACUCAGAAAGGACAGUUUAGUUGAGAAGUAGGUGAGUUGAGAGCUAACGCUGCCUGCCUGUGUGUAGUUUCGGCUACGGCCCCUUAAUUAAUGAGGAUAAAAAAUCACAUAUUACCAAUGAAAUUUAGUAUCAUUGAGAAUUUUGUUAAGUGAUUCUAACAGCUGAUGAAAUAUAAUGCCAAAAGAUUGAUUGUCAAUAUUUUUUUUUGUUCUAAAUAAUUUGAAGAUUUUAUCGGCUAGAUCUAUAGGUAUGGAUGUCAAAAAUUAAUAUUGAUAUAUUACUUAAUUAUUUAAAUGUCUGACAUCUCCAUCACUAUAUUGAUUUUUUUUCUCUUCAGAUCCGACUCGAUAUUCAUAAUUAGGGACAUGUUGUAUCAGUUGAUGAAAUUCUUUGUUUUGGUGAGAAACAUCCAUUUUUUACUGUGAGAAAUGAGUUGUGUAGCGUUCCAAUUACAGUAAGAUUUCAUCUUUUUUAUUCAUGGGUGUCGGUGAAAUUGAAUCAGGCGAAUAUAUUAUAUUGUUUGAUUAUUUUUUUAUCUCAUAAUACAUAUAGUGUAAAAAAAAAUUUAAUUGGAAAUAUAUUGAAAUAAUAUUUUAAUAAAAUGGACCCACACCCAUUGAACUUGCUUGGAUCUUCUGCACGUGUGUGUACAAGAGCACGUUUGCAAGUGCUUCUGAUAUGCUGCUUGGUCGUUAUGUUUUAUUUCUUUUCACAUUUUGGUCCUAACAAGCGGGCAUAAUGCAUAAAGGCCUGUUUUUUCUUCACCUAUCUACGAUUACAGUAGUACUACUAUGUCAAAGCGAGAUAUAUCACGAGGCACAGGCGCCGCUAUGCCGCAAAAAUCAAAGCUGACUCGACUCGCAAGCCGUCAUCGGUUAAACUAACCAGGCCUUUCACAUGUGACGUGGCAAAUCUUUCGUGCAACUUAUUUGAGUAUCGACGGCAGUUUUUUUAUAGCAGGGUUAUUAAAGUGGGUCUUGCCCGACACGGUUGACUCGGUAACUCUUUAACUUAGUUCAAAUUAAAUUAAAUAAUAUUUAAUUCAGUAUGACUUCACAAGCAACUCUUAAUAUGAUUAAAAUCUAUUUUUAUUUUUUUAUAAUGAUAUUAUUUUAUUUUUGAUUUUUUUUAAAUACAAAACUAUUUUAAUUUCACUUGUUUAAUUUUUUUAACGAGUUUUAGAUCAAAAUUUAAUAAAUCUAGUUUAUACAUAUAAGAAUAUUAAUAAAAGAUUCACUAUAUAUAUAUAUAUAUAUAUAUAUAUAUAUAUAUAUAUAUAUAUAUAUAAACAAAUAUAUCCAUCCCUCUAGGUAGACAUUCAGAUCCUGAAGCCAUUCAAAAGAUUUUUAUUUCUGAAGGUAGAUUGAGACGGAGUUCAUAGUAGAAACUAGCAUAGUGGCAUGAACAUUAAAGUGUUCGUGGGUUGUCCUAACAGUGUCGCUAAGAUUUAGUGCUGUUAAAAUAAAGAUGAAGACAGCGGUCAAGUGGCGGUAGAAAGUGACAGAUGAGAUAGAGCAACUAUCUCUGUUCAGAAAUAAAUUCCUGGAGCUCUCUGUUCCCCCAGUUCCUACUAAUCUUUGGAAAUCAUUACAAGACAGGAGAUGAUUUCAUUUGGUUUCCUUCGAUUUUCUUGACUUUCACCUCCGUUUUCUCUUCUUUUUCAAGUCAUUGGCAAUUACAUAACGAAGGUCAUGAGUUGAUUCGAUCCAAUUUAAAUAGUUUCUAUUUUGCUCAAAAGGUAGAGAGACUUUGAUUUUUUAGCCUUCCAGUAUAUAGACCAAGAAAAUUGAGAAAUGAACUGUGCCAAGGAGCACCCUUUUCACCUGGCCUCAUCGAGACUCACUGCCAAGGAGCACCCUUUUCACCUGGCCUCAUCGAGACUCAGUGAUCAUUUCACAGCAAAUGAGGGUAAGAUAUAUUGAUUGGGCAGUGAAAUAUCUGCUGAUCUUUGAACAACAAAGAGUGAAAUCGAGGGGACUUGAUAGAUUUUUGCAUAGAUAGCAAUUGGUGGAGUAAGAAGGUGGAAUGUUGUGGAUGCUCUCUACUUCUCUAGUGGGGUGGUGGGUGGUGGGGGCUUUUCUUUUUAAAUUAAGCACACAAAUAACGAACUAGUUUCCUGAUAUGUGGGAACCCAUUCUUUAGUGUUUACUGAAUUAGAAAUGGGCUAUGGCUCCAGGUUGUUGUGAACAGCGGAUUCUCAUGAGUUGGUGGCCGAGCAACUUUGCCCUCCUCCAUCUUGGGACCGCUCGAAUCUCAAGUUGGAUGCAGAAAAGGAGAGAUGGGAAAAAUCCCAUUAUUGGUCCAAUUCUCAUUUCUGAAGUUAUUGGCCUAAAGAAAAACAGUUUCCUAACCACCAUUUUCAUUGCAUAUGUUGGACCUCAUGCGACUACCGAGCUAAAACAAUUUGGUUAAUGAAAACAUUUUUUAGUUGAAGAAAAAGAAAAUUUUAGUUUAGAUUUCAAGAAAUUAUUUUUUUUUAUUUUGAAUUGAAAAUGCUUUCAAGAAGUUGUGGGAAAAUUAAAAAUAUUGUUGAUUAUAUUAAAUUUGAUUAUCAAUUUUUUAAUUGUUAUAUAUUUUGUUUUGAUUUUUUUAAAAAAAUUUAUCUAUUAAAAUUUGAUUUUUAUAUCAACUUUGAUCUUUAUUUUUUUCUUGUUAUUUUCUUUUAUCUUAUAAUUUUUUAAUUGAAAACUUGUAUCUAUUAUAUUUGAAAUAAUUUAUGAAAUUUUAAUUUUUUUUAAUUUUAUCAUCUUUCAACCUUUUUUAUCUAUCAAAUUUUAUUUUUAUUAUUUUAAUUGUUAUUAUUUUAUUUAAAAUAAUUUUUAAAAUUAGAUUUUUUUCAAUUCAAUUCUCCAACUUUUUUAUCUAUAAAAUGUUAUCAUUAUUCUUUUAAAAACUUGAAAAAAAAUUAAAAAAUUAAAAAGUUAUUCUCUAAUUUAUUUUUUAUAAUAUAAUUAACAUUGAAAAGUCUUCUCUAACUCAUUUUUUAUAAUACUUUUAAAAAUAAAAAAGUAAUUUAUUUUUAAAAAAUUUAAGUUAAAAAAAAAAAAACAACUUUUCUUAAUGCCUUGUUUGUUUCUAGGAAUUUAUUUUCCUCACUUUUUCAUGUUUGACAAACACAAGGAAAAUGAAUCAAAAGAAAUUCAAUUCCAGUCAACAAGAAAAAUAAAACGUGAGAGCAGGAAAGUGUUUUCCUUCCUUUAUUCUAAGGAAAACACUUUCCCAUUCUCUGUUAAUUUCACUGAACCAAAAGCUCACAGUGGCCAGAGUUGGGCCCAAUCCUGCGUUUUUAACUGUUCAUGUUAAUUGCACUGUUCAUUGAACAGUGCAAUUAACAUGAACAGUUUAUUGUGUACAUUGUUCACUCAAAAAUAGUGAACAGUGUAGUUCUCUUGCACUGUUCACUUGCCUGCGGGAACCUUUUUUUUUUUUUUUUUAAAUGUGCUAUUUUUUUAACAUUUUAAAAAAAACUAGUUUAGAGUGAAUUUUAUACCUUAAUAUUUUAUCCAAUUUUAUUACAUGCUAAAAAUAUUAUUAAAACUAUAGUUUUUGUCGGAUGUAUUUCGUACGUAAUGAAAUUAUAAAUGGUUUCAUGGAAUAGUAAAAAAUAUUUCACAAGCUUAUUUCUCUAUAAUAUGAUAUGAUAUAUAUAGUUAUAUUUUAUAAAAUAAGUUAUAUAUGAAUAUAGGAUAUAAUAAAAAAAAUUCAUCAUUAUACAUUUUAGAUUUUUUUUUAAUUGUAAGUGAUUAAAUAUUUUAUAUUAAAUAUUUUAUAUAUAUUAGAUAAAUUUGAAAAAAAAAAUUAAUUCAUUAAUAAAUUAUUUUCCAGUUCAUUUUCUAUAAUACAACUAAACACUGGAAAAUGUUUUCCAGUUUAUUUUUUAUAACACUACCAAACAUCAAAAAAUACUUUUUUAAAAUUUACUUUUUUUAAAAUUUACUUUUUAAAAAUAUUUUAUUUUUCUGCAAACAAAUAUAGUCUAAAAGUGAUUGGCAUUUCUGGUAGGAGCCAAAUCCUAACUGAAGAAAGAUCAGUACUAACAAUAAAAAAACAAGAAAACCCCGAAAGGCCAAAAUUCAAUUGGAAUUAUGACCCUCCUUUAUGACCUGCCUUUUGAUUGAAUGAUUGAUUGAUCAGUAUUUUUAGAGGUCACUGUUUGAAACUUUUUGGGUUACUGACCUAAUGAUUCAGGGGGGCUUUAAUGAUAAAAUUGUUUGUGGGGCUAAGAAGAUCCUUUGAGUAGUGAUUAACAAGUGCCAUUCUUUCUUGGUUUUGACCUUCCAGCCUCUAAUGAGCCCAUUCUUGCUGCUAAUCUGAACCUUCAGUAUUUAACUACUGUUUAGAAUGGCUUUUCAAAAGUAUUUUUAAAAAAGUUUAAUUUUUUUUUAUUUUUUAUUUUAUUUUAACUUAAUAUGUUUUUUAUGUUUUCAAAUCAUUUUGAUGUGCUGAUCUCAAAAAUAAUUUUUAAAAAAUAAAAAAAUAUUAUUGACAUAUUUUUCUAAGUAAAAAACACUUUAAAAAACAACAACAACAACACUCUCAAACACCCUCCCAACUAGCCGUCUGCGAAUUGGUAAACACAAGUGUAUGGGAAUGUAAUAUAGCUCAACUGUAACAUAUCUUAGUGCUUGAUAAAAUAGUGUGUGUGCAAGUUGAAAAGUACGGAUGAUUCUAGCAUGUUCACGGUUGCAAUGAGCAUAUUUUCUUCAUAAAUUCUCUCAACAAUUUGGACAAUAAUUGAGAUCAAUGUCGGAUCUGAGUUUCAUGGCCAUUUAUCUCAUGGGGCAAAGUGCUUUCGCAUCAUGUCCCUGCAUUAUUUUUCGCUAGUUGGAUCAUUGUCAGUGACCAUAACAAAAGGUGUAGAGCAGAAUCUGCCCAAAUCCUGGGGCAGCAGCAAAGUUUAGGUACUGCGCUAUAUGCUUUCCUUUUUUAGAAGGUUACCGAGAUUCGGUGGUGUUGUAACUUCCUUUACAGCAUUUCUGCAACUAGUGGGAGCCAUAAAUCACUACGAGUGUUUCAUUGUCCAUCAGAAAAUGUGGGUGUCAUUUUUGAAUCCCAGUUGCCAUGGGAAUCGUGCUUGGGAUUGAUUGAAAGAGAUGGUGGUGUUUUGGAUUAUUAGAGCAAGAUAAUAAAUGAUGAUGAAAGUCCUCUUCUUCGAGGCCCAAUAAUAGAAGCUGAUUACCAGAACUUUUCAAUGUUCCCCAAAGAGUAAAGAGAGAAACUAAUGAAUGGUUUGAACUUGAAAAACCCGACUGCAAGUGGAUGGAUCUUGAGAUUCAUAGUGAAGGAACUCUUGUGGUGCAACGCCUGAGUCCACGCUUCCCUUUCUUUUUUCUAAUGAAAAAAUUAUGCAAUUUCUUCUCCAACAUCACCAAUUGCAACAAUUUAUCCAGCAUGUUCUAGACAAAAGAAGCAAGACUAACAUGUUUAUUACUGAAUGUUAUCAAAGAGAGGCCGCUUGUUGGAUUUAAUUGCAUUACAAAAGAAGCAAGACUAACAUGAUUAUCAUUUAUUGUUUUUCAUAAACAACAAGAUAAAAAAAGAUGAGUAGAACUUAUUAGAUUUAAAAUUGAAAAAUAUAAAAUUAUGAUUGAUCCUUUCAUGAUUAUUAUAAUCUUUUUCAAGAUCAUUUAAUUCUUAAACAUCCAAAAUUUAUUUAUAAUUUAAAAGAAAAUAUAAUAACAUGAAUUCUACUUCUACUUUCAUAUAUUUUUAUGUACAAUCCAUUAUGUUGACUUUUAUUUGCUAUUGCGAUAAAUUCUUAAUAUAAUAGAUGAAAUAAUUAAAAAAAAUUAAUGUAUGCUUCACGUAUCUUGAUUUUUUUAAAAUUAAUGAAUCAUCGUAUUCAUAUCCUAUGGUACCCGUUGUUCUAUUAACAAUAACUAAAUCUUCACUAGUCUUCGCCCAAUUCCUUGUCUAGAUGAGAUGAUCAUAAAUUAAUAUGACAAAACUUUGGUUUGAACUAAGAACUGGUAACUUUUUCGAACAAACUCCAACCUACUGACCCUACUUGUCCGAAUUUCUACCGAUUUAUUUUCCCCGUUAGUGUUUACGUAAAUAACAUGGGAUUUUCAACUAUCUUUGUCGACAACCAGUACCCCGAAUUUCGAGUGAUAUAAAACGAAAUCCCAUGUUAAGCAAAAGCCGGCGUCAAAUUCAAAGUAAGCAUUCUUACCAGAAGAUUCAAAGUAAAGCCUGUAAAGUGCUCUUUUGAUCACUUUCACAAUCAGCUACUCAGCACCACGGGCCACGAGAUUGCCUUCUUUAUUUUCUCCUGUUCAUACUACUGUUAGCAUCCCACAACUCCGUUUCAACUUUGAUUUCUUGGCUCUGGUUUGAUUAACGACAAAUUAUUCAUAUAAACACUAAGAAAUUUAUAAAAGUUUUAUUUCUCAGAGUCUUAUCUUAUCCAUCAAGAUUUAACCAUAUAAGACCAACCCAUUUAACUUGAACAAAAUUCAUUUAUGAAAUUUCAAAUGUUUGCGUUGAUGAAAAUGAAAAUGAUGUGCAACUUGUAUUUUAGCUAAGAAUAAUUAUUUUAUGUUUGGUUCAGUUUUUAUAAAAAACAAUAACCUAACUGAAUUUUAAAAAAAAAAAAAAACCAAAACCAGUUCAAACUGACCGGUUUCGAUUUGGUUCGGUUCGGUUUUUUAGGUCAAAAACUGGAUCAAACCGGUUUGGCUUGGUUUUUUUGGUUUGGCUUGGUUUUUUUCCGGUUUAGCUCGGGUUUUUUUUGUUCGAUUCAGUUUUUUCAGUUUCAAGCUUAUAAAACCGAACCAGUUGGUUUUUUUUUAAAUUUUAAUCGGUUUAAUCGUUUUUUUUACAGUUCGGUUUUUUUAGUUAUUUUUUUCUGAUUUUCUCGGUUUAAUUGAUUUUUCAAUUUUUUAACUCACCCAUAAUUUUAGCGAUUCUAUAGAAAAACUAAGGUAUGGAUGCAAUAUUUGAUGUUAAAAAAAGGAGUAAUUCAGCUUAAAUUCAAAUCUUGAAAACUAAUUAUUCUGAAAAAAAAAAAUAGAGGCGGUGAUGUAAUAAUAUGGAUUGUCUUGUACAAGUAAUUGGUCAAAAAAAUUUAAAAUUGUUCUUACAAAUUCAUGUACUAGUUUAUAAAAGCGUAGUGUCAACGUAUAUUGUGAAUAAUUAAUGUGAAUCAAAGUAAUAAAACCAAAUAUGCCGCAUGAACUGGUAUACAGUCAAAUCAUGAGUUAUACUGAGUUGAAUUGGAUUCACUUUCAAGAUUAUUUAAAAAUAAAUUAAAAUAAUAUUAUUUUAAUAAAAUUUUAAAAAAUAUAAUCAAAUGUUGAUCAAGUCGAUCAAUUUUUUAAAAACACUUAAUUUAAUUUAAAUUUAAAAUUGAUUAGGUCUAGAAUUGACAUAUUCCGGUAAAUUGGGUGUGAUAUGUUGUCAAACUCUCUUUUCAUUGGUUUUAGUUUUUAUUAAGUUGGCUUUUUUUCUCUUGGUCUUUUUAACCAUAAACAUUAAAAAGAAAAUACAUUUUAAUAUAAAAUACAUUGAUCCAUUACUUUUGAACAUUAAAUAUAAUAAAACAUAUCAUUUUCAUCUUCGUCUUUGUGUAUUCUAUUCCAAUAUAAUAACUAAACGAAAGUAUGUUAUUGCCUUUGUACACUUAAUUAGUGUAUCAAAUUGUGCUAUAUUCUAUCCAUAUAAACUUACUUUUGUUUGCUUAUGCACAUGAUUAAUAAUUUUGGGGCAACCUAUCAGUAGAAAUAAGUUCAAACUACGCCCUCAAACAUAAUAUCUGUCAUCAAAUUCAAUUGCAACAUGCUAAUUAAUUACUCGUCAUAAACUAGAUUUUGAUACAGAAAGAAUGAUUUUUUAGUAUAUUUUUCAUUUCGAUGUAAAUUUGGAUUUUGCUCAUAAGAAUGGUUUCUUAUACUUUACUAUUUAAGAUUUUUUAAGGAUUUGAUAUAUACAAGAACUACUCACAGAUUAUAAAAUUUCAUGAUUUUACAAUUUUAUGAUCUGAUUGUUUGAACCAUCGAGUUUUCUAAUUAGAACCCUCAUUUCAACACCCUUUGCUUGCCAAAGGAAAAGGAGAAUCUUGCGCUUCUGGAUAGUGCAUGGAUUUGCCACCAUAAAGCAGGCCGCAGGCCGUCGUGUAACAAUGCUGCCUCAGACGUGUAUUGUCUUGGCAUGGCAUCCCCUGGGCUUGCUAUAGACUUGAUCCAAUAUCACUCCCUCUGCCUUUUGGGGCUUCAUGUUUAAGAAUUGAUUUAAAGCGUGAGAGCACAAUAAUUGUUAUUUUUUAAAAUAUUUUUUAUUUAAAAAUAUAUUAAAAUAAAAUAUUAACAUUAAUACAUUAAAAUAAUCUAAAAACAUUAAAAAUAUAUUAAUUUAAAGUGAAGAAAAAAAUAAAAAAAAUUUCAAUACCUGAUCUUUAAUUUAAUGCACAUCAAACUGGGCAAAAUAUAACUCCUAACUGUUUAAAACAAUCAGAUUAAAGUGCAAAUAUUCUUAACAUUUCUGAACCAGCACUUAAAUUGACAACAAAAAAGAAAAGAAAGGGAAUAUUAUCUAAGAAAAUAACCGAGUUCAAAAAAAUAAAUCGAUGAUAGUUGAGGUUUAUCGGUUUACAGAUAGCGGCACCAUGGAAGAAAGGAAUACACAUGAUAGCUGAUUUUCACCAACAUAACAAAUCACACUGCACCUCGCAAGCUUGCAUCUCUCUCGCUUGCUCGCAUGAAUAUUCAAAUCCCUAGAUAUGUUAGCAUAAACCAAUUUCAAAAAAGAAGCCACAAUUUAUGUACCUUCUAAUUUGUCUGCAGUACCAUUCUCUCUUUUGACCCACUGACUGGCUGAUCUUCUUGAAUCUUGUACUCUCUGCUUCCUCUUAUGAAUUUUUAACAUAAACAUGAAAAAAAUUUAAAAAUAGUUUGAAAAAUUUAUGGAGUUCUCUAAAUCAGAAUGAAGGAUCAUCUCCUCAUCUUUGACCUCUGCUCCAGAAUUCUGAGAUCAACGCAGAUCGGUAAUUACUAUGCUGCAUUUGAAUGAACAAGAAUCCACCAAACAAACAACAGGUGAUUGAAUUGAACAGAAAGGGUUCAUUAGAAUUUUUUAUCAUGGAAGCCGCUAUUACCAGUUCAAACUGUUGGUAAAUACACUUCAGAUCUAUACCAAUCAUUUUGAUGGCAUACCGAUUGAGAAGCUUGAGUUCGAAUCAAGUCAAGCACGUGCAUGUUCAUAACCCUUGGCAUGGAAAACCUUUCUGUCAACUGGACAGUUACCCAUUUUUCCUUCCAAUACUCCAUGCACAUCUCAUAACCCCAGUUUGUUUUAAGAAAAAUUAAUAGCAUGAUAGUUAAAUAACCAAUGUCUUCUUGAUUAAAAAAAUGUUAAUAACCAGGCAGCAUAUGUUCUAUUAGCCCAAUUAGAAGACAUACCAUUCUGAUUUCCCAUGUCUCAUGUCCCUGACAAUGCAUUCACUGCCACAGUUUGAGGAAAAAAGAUAAGGAUGACAGGGAAAAUAUUUAAAGACCAAAAUCAAAACUAAAACCUAGUAAAGUAUCAUCAAGAAGAAAGAAAUCAGAACUCUACCUGUGAAAGAAACGGAAUCAAGACAUCAACUUCAUAAAUGACAAGGCUUCAUGUUGUUCAUCAUCUGGGGACUAAAGGGUACAAACACAGAGGACAAUCACCAUCUGAGUGGUUCAUAACAGAGAGCUUCUCCACCACUUCCUAAAAAUGUAGAAUCAAUGAAUCUUUGCAACUUCUAUAUAUCAGUCAAAGAAAAACUGCAAAUAUACGCAAAUUCACUCCUGAAGCUAUGUGUAUUUUAGAUUGGGCAAUUUGUAGGCAUUCCUGUCAAGGUGCAGGAAAUCUAGUAAAUAGACAUUCACUGUUAUUUUUGGUGCAGCGUCCAGGUAAAACACAAUACUUGGUAAAAUAGCAUGCCAUGAAUGUGUUUUCACCCUGGUUACUGUGCAUAUAGAUUCUGCCAAAAACUAUUAUUAAAUUACAAUCCAGGAUCUUUUAUUACCUUGAUGAUUCUACACCAACAACCUAUUUUAGCACUGCAGGCAAUUCAAACUUAUGAUCAUAUCUUGAAAAUAACAGGGAUUGUGAUAUCAAAUCCUCAACUGAAAUGUUAAACAGAAAGAAUAAGAAGCAUCAGAGCAUAAUCUUAAUGCUAAUUGGCACAAGCCAAAUAUUACAGCGCAUGCAUUUACUUUGCAGAACAGCCAAUUACUUAAAGACUACCGACAGAUAUAUGACAAAUGGAAAAAAAAUCAAAUUAAGAUGAGGAUUUUCUACUGUUUAUCAAAUACGAGGCAAGUAAUAUGGUUUUCUCAAUUCGUUAACACAAUAUAGAAUAACAAUAUCAAUGCAGAAAAAAUCCUUGUUAUGUGAAAAAUGCAGCAAUUACCUCGCAAAGUGCUACAAGCAUCAAACAGGAGGAAAGUUCACAUGCUUUGUGUUGUCCACUAGUUAUCAAUUGCUUUUGCCUUUCUCCAUCAAGACCCUUGGAUUCUAUGAGAUCAAUAUGCAGAGGUUUGCUUGGAUACUACCAUGGAAUAUGGACAAAAUAUAGUAUCGAAACAAAGGUAUUCAAGAUUUCACAAACAAUCAACAGCACACAUGGAGCAUCCAACCCUAAUAAUUUUCACCACUUAGGCAGAAAAUACAUACAAAUUGACAUCUCCUUGAUGUUGUAAAAUACCUCAGGACUUGCUUUUAUCCCAAUAACUGCUUCCACAAACAGAGAGAAAAACACAAUGAAGUCCUAUAGAACAGUUAUUUAUGCCUCUUCUCUGUGUCAAAAGAAAUAGUACAAAAACAGUCAUCAAUCUCCAUAAAAAAAGUUACAACCGCUGGUAAAAAGAAAAAAAAAAAACCGACGCAUACCCUUAAAUGCAAUGAGAGACGGAAAAGGAUGAAUCUUUUUCUAAUAGUAUAAUUCACACUGCUACAGCUGGAUGCGAAAUCAAGAACCCUUAAGCUGAUUUUUAGCUAUGAGAAUUGAUAUGCAAUAAAACUAGUGCAAUUUUCCCUUCCAAUUCAUAGUGCCAAUACCUCUCUUAUAUCCUUACACAAAAAUAUUCUACGAAAAUACAAUAAACAAAUUAGAAUCAUUAUUCUAAAUAAAUGGGUUUGCUCAAAGGAAUCAGCACUAUCAACUUUUAACACACCUUGAUAAGAAUCGUUUUUAUUUCCCAGACAAUUUUUUCUCGAAUUUUGUUCUUCAAAACCAAAAAAUAAGCAGACCCCAAAAGUAAAAGAAGGGGAAAGAGAGUGGUGGACCUGUUGAGAGGAGAUAUCAACGGUUCUGGGUUUGAUGUGGAGGUGAAGAUGAGGAGGGAAAGAAUCGAGAAUUGCACAAUCGUCGCCGAACACGGCCAGCACCGCUUCUACUUCCAUUAAAAACUUCUUCUUCUGCCAUUCCUUUUUCUUCAACAGCUGCCUAUGCAGUCUGUCCCUUCAAUUUUUAAUUUUCCGGGGUAAAUUUUGAAUUUGUUUUAUUUUAAAUUUAUUUAAUGUAUUAAUAUUAAAAAAUUUUAAAAAAUAUUAUUUUAAUAUAUUUAAAAUAAAAAAAUUUAAAAAACAAUUUAUACAACAUUUUUAAAAAUCUAUUAAUCUUCGACAACGAUUGAGAAAAUAGUUGUCGGUCAUGUUUUAUAUGCAAUUUAGUUUAAUUAAAUAUUAUUGAAUUUGUUUAACUAACUAAUUAUUAUAUUUAUAAAAAUGAUAUAUUCAAUAAAACCUUGAAUUAUCUAAAUUUUCUUAAUCAAUUUAGUUAACUGAUUUUUAAGAAUUUCUCAGAACAGGAUAAUUUGGGUAAUUACCUGAAUUUCUUUAGGAACUCAUUUUAUAUAUAAUAAUAAUAACAAUAAUAACAUUACCAACAACAAAACACUAAAGAUAAUUUAAUAUUUAGACAUGGUCAUAAAAUAUUGUUAAUUAAAAUAGUGUUAUAUGUAUUUUUUUUAAUUUUAUUAUUCAAUAAUUUAAUAUUUGUUAAUCUUUUAAUUUUACCAUUUAAUAUUAUAUUUAUAUAAAAAAAAACAUACUAGCAAUGCUUGAAUGUUUUUUUCACGUUAAAAAAUUUGAUUCAAUACACAGCUAGUGAUCUGAACUAACAGGAAUAUAAAAAUGAAAAGGAGAGUUCUUAUCCAAUGCUAACACUGUAGAGAUUCCAAUGCAGACGAGAACAACGAAUGUUGAGGAUAUUGCCAGUGUCAAGUAGCAUUUGAGCAAAAACAUAUCUACUACUUAAAAAUAAAGAAAAUUUAAGCAUGCUUCUGUAUUUGGUUCCAUGUUCAUGCUGUUCAACUUGAUUCAAAUACAUCCAACGUAACGAUAUAAUAUGAUUUAUGUUUGCUUCCCCAGCUUGCUACCUUCUUCUUCUUCUUCUUCUUCUUGUGCAAGUACUCACAUGCAGAUAUUUAGCACCUCAUUGAGAGCAGACACAUAUUAUAUUAUCUUGAUCCAUGAAUGUAUGAUCCAGCACCUGAUGUUCAGUUUUUGGGAGAGGUAGGGAAUAUUUGAGAGGUAAGAACAUGAAUUUUUCUCAAGUGAGAUGGUUACCAAGUUCUGAGUCUCGAUAAAUGAUUGUUUUGCACUGCGAAAUCACGAUUUCAAAUUCUCUUAUGGAAUUAUUUAAGCUAUACGGAUAAAUAAAAUAAAACUAUAUGGAUGGUGGGCCUUCAAAUGGUAGACUCGUAGUCAUUCUUUAUUAAAGUCUUUCGUCAACGUUUUUUUUUUUUUUGUCCUGUAACUUUGUGAUAUCUCCUUGCAGCCACAUAUCAUCUACCCCGGUACUGGUACUAGUUUUUGUGUGGACGAUCUGUUCAAUUUCAUCACUAACUCAAAUAUUCAGGUUGCUUUCUUCUUCUUUUUUUCGAAAAAAAAUCCAGGUUUCUGCUGGUGCCAAUGGUGAAUACUAAUUUUAACAAGCCAGAUCAAGUUUGGCCUUGAGAAUAUGCAAGUAAUUUUAACCGCUACAAAUUUGAUUUCUCUCCAAUUCUUUCGAUUCUAACUUUGAUUUGUCCUUCCCUUGAUUGAAAAUGCACACAGGUUAAGGCAAGAAAAAAGAGAGCAGCAGCAGAGAUGCUGGAGUUUAGCUAUAGCAGUUUAAAAUGCAUAAUCCAGGCGUGAUUCAAAGCUUGCAGCUUGAAGAUUUCAGCGGUGGAGUUGCAUAUAUGAUUGAUAGAUGACAAGCUGCAAGAAAAGAGAUGAGGUCCGGACAACACUGGAGCAUGAUAAUUAAGGUACGUACAAGUCUAUACUGAAAGCUUGGCUCAUAAAGAACUACUUUGAUCUGAUGUUUAGCCGUUUCGUUCUUGCAAAAUCAAAUAAAAAGAGAGGAGACAAAACAAAGGUUUCCUCUAACUAUGUCCCUUCUCUUUCGUUAACUAGUCUGAGAUUUCUGUACUGAACUGCUCAGCAUUAACCUUCAAGGUUUUCAUGUGGCCAGAAUUGAACAAUAAAAUUUCAUUUCGAGACCAAACCCUCAUACGGGCCUUUUUAUUUGGGCUUUGGCCCGUUUUUUACCCAAAGAAAAGUCCAUGAAUUUUUUUUUGUUUUUCAUGGCUUCAAUCAUUGAAACCUUAGGUUAGUCGAUAUCGAACGAAGUCUCCGAGAUGUCUCAUGGACCUUGGGGUGUCGAUAUCGAACAAUGUCUCCAAGAUUCCUCGCAGCUUUCAUCUUUAUAUCGAGACUGUUAGUCGCCGUAUGAAAUUCAAAUCUUCCCUACUUUCUCUGAAUAUUGGCUAGCCUUUCUUUCUUACGUCGUCCUCUGCUUAAUUAAUUUUCCAUUCUAGCAAGCUAUGGAAGCCAAUAGGAUCGAGCUGGAUCCAUCUGGCCAAGAACUCGAAGGUACGUGUGUUUAUAUCUUUAGAUCAAUAGUGAUCUGCAGGUUUAUAACUAUAUUAUAAUCAAUUAUAUAUGAUCAUCAUUUCUUAUUUUUAACAUCAAAACCAUCUGGACCACGCACUCUCUUGUUCCUCUUCUUUGAAUCCGACUCUAUAACCCAUUCCCCGCAACUGAUCUUAACUGCUUUCUUGAUUGCAAAUACUUCAGCUUCAUUUGACUCUUUUGCACCAAUUGUUCACGAGAAAACACAAUUCAAAAAGCCACCAAUUCCCUUUGUUUUCGGCUUUCCUAAUUAAAGAGGAACCAUCGACAUUCCAUCUUCCAGGACUCAACCAACUGUAUGAGCAUGCGCGUUUGCUAGAUUUGUCCAUAACUUUAAUUUCAUCAGAACUUCUCUUCGCAUACAAACCUGUGUGUGGUAGCUUUCUUCUCAUGCAUUUGCCCAAAGAGUAACACGGUAAAAAACUAGAUAGUGUAUAAAGGACUUUACCUUUUUCUUUUAUUCAUUUUAAUCAACCUAUAACUUCUGAUCAUCAGUUGCAGUGGGAUUAGAGUAACAUAGAUGGGUUUCAUGAUUGCUUUUUAAGAUGUCAGAACGUUUAAAAUUUUAGAUCAUCAGUUGCAGUGGGAUUCAAAUGAAUUUUUUUUGUUUAUAAUAUAGUUUUUAAUUUCCCCUUAUUUCUAAACGCACAUAUGCGUGAAUACAAGUUUUUUAGUUGUGAGCUACAAGCCUUUUUAUUAUUAUUAUUGAAAGGAAACUCAUCACAAGUUCAUUUUCAAUAAGCAAAACAACAAAAUAUUUAUUGACUAAUUAAUAAGUUCAUAUAUAUUUAAUAUUUUCUUUCCAAAGAAGUUUAAUUUUUCACAUGCUUUCUAGAUUGGUACCCUCUAGCAUAUUACAUUAUCAAUCUUUCAUCCUCUCCUUCACAACCAUAAAUUUAAUAAGAGUAAUUCUUAUAUUCAAGCACAACUAUCCUUAAUUUAUGCUGAAAAAAUUAUAAUGCAUAAUCAUCAUCUUUUAUUUUUCCUUAGCAUGUCAAUUGUUAGGGUUCUUUUUUUAACUCAUUUUUCUUUCGAUCAGUGAGGCAAUAAAUCUGUUUCGAAGAUUUUAGUGUUUUUUUUUCAAAAAAAAAAUUAAAAAGCUGUAGUUGAUAGUUCAUGUUUUGAUAGGUAAUUUAGAAAAUGUUUAAAGAAUUGAAAUUUUUGGAAUAAAAAUUCAAAAAUGAACUUCUUGAUAAUUUUCCUUAUCGGAAAACACAUAUUAUUAAGAUAGGAGAGUACAGUGUCCUGAGAGAUUAUCUAUACAGAAAGUAGCCAGGAGAAAAAGGAAAAUCAUAUGCAGAGGGCGAAAAUAAAGGAAAGAUAAAAAACAAAUGAAGGAUUGUUCCUUGAAUUCUUAUUAUACAUAUAUACAGCACCUGUUUGAAGCUCUCAUUGGCAUCCUUAUUCCUUAACGCAAAUUUUUAAAGGUUUUCUUCUUCCAGUGUUUAAACGCGGCUCGAGCUAACACCAUAAUUGGAAACUCAAACUGCACGCAGGUAGUCCUAUCGCAGGGGAGAUCUCAUCCGUGAAUCAUCGAUCACCCAGCUCAUCAGCUCCACCUACAGAAGGAAAAGUUCAAUUAAGCGAUGAACAGAAGGCAAAAAAGAAAAUAUAUGAUCACACAUACUGCGAGAAAAAGAAGGUAUAAUGACUAGCUAUUACUCCUAGAUCUUCCUAUUCAUUAACUGGUGCUCUUUCUUUUCUUUCCCUCGUGACUAGUAGUCUUGUAUCAACUUCCUUUUCUAUUUAUUGUGCAGCUACAGGAGGUUGACAUUAUGAAUGAGCUCAAAAGUCUGGAAAAUAUUUCUGGUGAAUUGGAUCGUACAAAUGACAGAUUAAAAAGGAAAAGAGACUACUUGGAGGUCAAUGUGGAGGAGGAAAAUAGGAGAAUUCUUAGCCAGUUGCUCGGCAAUAUUGCAGGACAAAAUACUGAGGUGCAGGAGGCAAAGCGUGCUUGCCAGCCGUUUUCUUCCUCUACCGCCUAUUCGUUCCACAGAAUCGCUACAAUAUCACAUGCAUGCAAAAAUCAAAAUCGAAUUAUCUCUAAAUUAAACUCUUGAUACACACGCAUAUAUAUUCUCAUUUCUUAAAACUAAUCAGCAGCAGAAUUAUGGCACAGAAUCUCCCGCAGGUCAUUGCAAUAAAUAAGUUCAACAUUUUCAUAUCCUUCAAUAUAAUUUAUAGCAUAUCACACAACCAAUUCUAGCAAUUACUAACAUUUUCCAAUGAUUUACAGUCAUUAUGUCAUAUAUAAAAAGGACAUUUGCCUUUUCAAACUUGCCACUUCAUUCUCUUUGUUUAUCAUUAUGUAACAUUUCAUUCGAUAACUUAGAGCCCAUAUCAUAUAUUCUGCUAUGACUACCAUGUAAUGCUAUGCUUUGUUUAUACCACAGGUUUUCAAUGUUUUGCAGACCAAUAGUAAUGGAGAAAGCUCAAUGGGUCUUAGCGAUCAACGAGAAAUGAACGAUGUCCCGAUCACGAGCAGUAAGUUCCGUAACAUCUACAAAAAAACAUAUCUAUUAUAGUCUUUGUUGUUAUAAUUUGUUGGCAUGAAAUAGUAAAAAUACAGAGUUAGUGAAGAGAAGAAUUCGUUUCUUUUCUCUGUUACUAGCCCGGCAUAAAUAGCCACUUUACAAAGCCCUCUUUUAGAUCCUAUAAUUUAAUUAGGACUGAUUGACUAGCUAUAUGGAAAUACAUUCACAUGUUUGCAGGAAUUCUAGUCCAUCUUUACCGCUAGUAGUAGAGAUGAAAUAGGGGCUUAAAUAUUGGAGAAUCAAUUUGGAGAUAAUUACUCAUAAUUAUCAAAACCUCCCCUCGAGGUGGUGCGUAAAUGUCACUCAUGUCUAGUUCGUCGAGAUAGUCAUUAAAUGCUUGGUUUGACACUGUCUUGGUCAGCAUAUCAAUAAGCUAGUCUUGAGAUCAAACAUGAAGAACUUCAAUCAAUUUUUCUUCUAGUUACUCCUUGGUGGAAUGCCUAUCAACCUCAAUUUAUUUAGUUCGAUUAUGUUGAAGAGGAUUAUAAGCAAUAUCACACGUACCUUGUUAUCAAAAUAUAACUUCACAAUAUAACUUUAUAGGGUUGACUUACUUAAUAUGUAAAUCUUGCAUCAGAUUUCUGAUCCAUAACAAUUUGUAUAUUGCCUUAGUCAUUCCUCUAUAUUCGGCUUCAGCACUGGAUCUAGCAACUAUCUUUUUUUUUUUUUAACUUCGCCACAUAACCAAAUUCCCUCAUACAAAUAUGCAAAAGCCAGAUGUAGAACAUUAAUCUUGAGUAAACCCACUCCAAUCAACAUAUAUAUAGUCGUUAAUAUCCAAAUUGUCUCCUUUUGUUAUUAAAAUUCUCUUUCUUGGAGAUGACUUUAAAUAGUGUAAGAUAUGGAUGAUAAUAUUCAUAUGUUCUUCGCUUGAAAAAUACAUAAAUUGACUAACCACACUUAGCACAUAAGCUAAAUCAGGUCAAGUAUUUGAAGAUACAUUAAUCUUCCAACCAACAUCUGAUAGUGUUGUUAGUAGAAACUUGAUAUGAAUGCAUACGUAGUUUUAGAUUUUCUUCCAUAGGAGUGCUAGCUAGACUACACGAUAUCAUACCAGUUUCAUUUAGUAAGUCUAAGAUAUAUUUUCUUUGUGACAGAAAAAUACCUUUCCUUGAUCUUGACAGUUCAAUUGCCCGAGGUCCUUCAUCUCAAACUUACGGGCAAGAUGCUCAUGCAAUGUUGUCCUUUCUUCAUGAUCAUUUCCAAUCACCAUCAUAUUAUCAACAUCCACAAUAAAAGAUAUGGUUUGUUUUUCAUUAAUUAUGCAUAUCAGAUAUUUACAAUCAGGGGCAACUCCAUAUACACUUUUUUCUAGGACAUUUCCAUGCAAAAAUACAUUCUUUACAUCAAACUGGUGUAAAGGCUAGUCAGGAUUUGUUGUUAGAGAUAAUAAAAUAUGAACAGUAUUAAUUUUGGCCAUUGGUGAUAAUGUCUUCAUAUAUUUACAAUCAGUUUUGCUUUACACUGUUCAAUAAUUUUAUCGGCUUUGUAUAUAAUGGUGAAGAUCCAUCUACAUCCAAUACGUAUCUUUUCUUUAGCAAGUCAACAACUUUCCACUUUGAGUUUUUUUAGAAGGCUUUCAUCUCUUCAUUCAUUUCCAAAGAAUUAGUUGACAAGUUAUCAAAUGCUAUAAAAUCCAAGUUUUGCAAAGGAUUAGUUGAAGUCAGCACUUCAUCUCUAUUCUCUCUUUGAAGUGAGGACUCAGAGUAAUACAUUUUAAUUUCAUGAAAGAUAACAUCAACGGUAAAAUAAAGCUUGCGAGAAGGGGGGUGAUCUCACCAAUAGCCUUUUUGACACCAUAACUAUUUUUUUUUUAUUGAUCAUUAUAUUUUUUAUUUGAUAAUAAAAAAAAAUAGACUAAAAUCGUUGAUAAUUAAUAAUUAAUCCUGUUGUACAUAAUCUAGCAUAUUGAUCCAUCUAUUUCUCAUUUAAUGUAUAUUAAAAUUAAUUUUCCUCUCUUAAUUUUAUUUCCAAUUGCAACUCUCCUAAUUCUUGAAAGAAACUUUAGGUAAUUGCAUGGGUUGCUCGUGUUUUCUCAUAAUUAACCUGUUUAAGAAAUAUGACAAUCACCGGUCACCACCUAAAAUUGCAGUCUUCACUUCAUCGAUAAAUGUAUGCAUGAACAUCUAUAAUGCUCGUUAUCAUUGGCUUCCAAAGAAUUUACCCGGUGCUAUAUAUAUAUAUAUUCUCUUAGCAAAUUUAUGAUAUGCAUCUCGUAAUAAGGGUUUUGUUCUUCUAGAGUUCAAUUGCCGUUCAAGUAAACAAGCAAAUAUGUUAACUAGAAACUGAAUGUGUGUGUGUGUACAUAUGCAGGUACUUUCUCUAGGGAGAACCCAUUAUCCAUGAAUCCUCAAACGCUCCCCAAAUCAACUAAAAAGAAGGUAUAUAUUCUCCUUUGUUAUUUCUGUACACAUUCCCCUUAUAUGUAAUUACUCUAUUUCCUUUUCUAAAUAUAUAUUUUUGUGCACGUAAGGUAAUUGAAGCCUCGGAAAGGAUUAAAAUACUUAAAGGAAAAAUUGUACAAUUCCAUAAAGAUAAUGCCGUCUUCAGUGCGGAAGCACGUCUGUUGCAAAAGACUCUCGCUCUACUUGGCAACAUCAGUGCGCAGAUCACUUCCAUUUCUGCUAAGAAAAAUGAUAUGCUGGAAUUGUUUUUCAAUAACUAUAUGGUAAGGAUGCCCUUCUAUUUCUCUGGUACUCGGUUCUAAUUUUAUCUUCUAAUUUAUUAAAGUAUGAUAGAUAACGUUUUUAAAAUCCACAUCAUUGAAUUUAAAUCAAUAGUUUGGAGUUGUGUUCAUGCAUGAAUAUUGGAUGAUUAUUGAAAUAUAUGAUUAAUGAGUAGUCGUGAUUUUUAAAAGAAAUUGUAACAAUUUCAAUGGUUUAGAAUUUAGAUUCUUCAUACAUAAUCGAUUUACUCAAAACCACUCCAUAAUUAAUAUAUAUGAAUUGUUGGGGAAUUCGACCGGUGAUGUUCUGAUCAUUGCUCAUUGGAGAUUAAGUAUACUGACACAAUAUUUAACGUGGUUCGGCAAACCGCCUACAUCCACGGGAGAAGAGCAAAUAUUAUUAAAGAUAGAUAAAAAAAGGGUUACAACACACAUGCAGUAGGAGAAUCACUUCACUCAAACUCAAUUCUCAUUGCUCUCGCACAUUGCUGUCAUUGGCAACCACUCCGCUUUCUCUUUUCCUCUCUUCUCUUCACACACUCUCUUUCAACUUUGUUCUCUAACUUAUGCCUCUAUUUAUAGGCAUUAAUAGUGUCACCAACUCCAGCUCAUCACCAUUUUAUUAAUGGUUGGUGCAACUUGUGAUAAUAACUCACCAACAAAUGUAGCCUUUUGACAAUUACCUUCUCUUCUAGAAUAUGGUUGUAGAUGCUGCCACAUAAGUGGCAAUAUCCCAACAAUGAUUUGUCUAAGCUGAAACUUAAUACACUAUUAACAAAUCAGUGAGAUUAAUACAUGGCAGAAUGCAUGUCUCCUUUCACAUGCAGUUGGAAACAUAAUUAAAUAAGCUCCACACAUUGGAAGCAUGCCCUGUUUAAUGGGGAAGGCCCGUUAAGUUGGGUGUAUAAAGCCACUCACUUUUUCAAUUUUCAUAAUGUCCCAUCCCACCCACCACAACACUGGUUGUUUAUCACGAGCUUUCAACUGGAAAGAAAAUCCAUAGAAUGGUUUCAAGAAAUGGAGGAAAUUGGUGCUUUGACUAGUUGGGAAUCAUUUGUGAAGGCUUUGCAGAUUCAAUUUGGGCCUUCUACAUAUAAUAACCCCAUAGAGGCCUUAAUUAAUUCAAGAGGAUUAUCAGAUGCUCAUAAGUUGAGUUGUUUUUUGAGAGGAUUAUAAGAUGAAAUCAAGAUUACCGUAAGAAUGCUCAGUCCUUCAAAUUUGAUGGUUGCAUAUAGGCUUGCUAAAAUGCAAGAGGAAAACCUCAGUCUAGUAAAGAGGAGUUUAAGGUCCAAUGCUACAGUAACCCAAUGAAGAAUACCAAUAUCAGCCCCAACUAAAAGUGAAAACAGGCCUUUCCUACUGAAGUUUUUUUUUUUUUUUUUUUUAUGAUAUCCGAGUAUACAUUCAAACUAGAAAUAAGCACUUUAGGCAUCUAAAAAGAGUGUUACAGACCUUAGUUAAGCAUCAAUUAUAUGCUAAGAAGUUAAAAUGCAGGUUUGCUACAAGAGAGGUUGAAUACCUUAAUUAGUCGGUGAACAAUAAGUUUUGUCAAAACUUUAAAGUUAACAUUGCAUAGACCGAUCGGUCUAAACUGGUGUCGGAAUUCUGGAUGUGAGACAAUGCCUUCCUAACUUCCUCGUCUGCCACCGGUUCCAACAGCUGAUCUCUAAGCACCUGAUCUAUAUUCGGGAAGGCAUUGUAGAUGGGAAAGGCUUGUCCCGAAUUGUCCUGACUAAUGAAUUGCUUCUUGUAAAACCGUACAACCAUAAGCUUUUACAGAAUAUUGACUUGUUUUUUCUUUUUUCUUUUUUUGAUAAAUGAAAAGUAUUCAUAAAUCAAAAGAGAAAGAUAAGGGUUCUGCCCAAACAGAGCUAUUACAGAAAAGGCACAAGCCCAAAACUACAUGAAACAAAUCCCUGAAUAAGAUGAGAUAAAUUAAGAUGGUGGGAAAAAAAAUAGUGACUGUAAUGAAAAAAUUGUAAGGAUCAUUUUUUUUUUAGUUGUAUAUUUUCUCGAAACAUUUGGGAAUCAAUUCUGCAAGGCUGCAAUUAUGUUGCAUUAACCCUUCUACUUCUUCCAUUAUCAUGUAUCACAAUCAAUCUAUAAUUUCUUUUACCUAUAAAAAAUGUGCAGUUGCAAAACCUUGGUCAAGGAAGCACAAUAUCUGUCAACACACAGGUACGAUUAUUUACUAUAGUUUCCUCUUUCUAUAACCUAGCUUGGUGCACUCAUUAGAUUGUUCACAAAGAUGAGACAAAUUAAGAUAAUUAGAAGAAUUAAUAGUGACUGUCUUCUUUGUACUGGUUAUAACAUGGAACUAAGAGAUCAUUUGUUUUUUUGGUUGUACGUACUCUCAAAAUCAAUCAUGCAAGUUACUUUUAAUUAUAAUUUGUAUAUGUUUGUUUAUUUAGUUUUUCUGAGGAGUAUAUUCCUAUUAGAUAUGCAUGUUUGUAAUCUUGACUUGCUAAUCUCCCGGCUUUGUUACUUUUAAUCUUUAAUAUAUUUUUACAUUUUAUUCGAAAAAAAUCAAGCAAGCAAGGCUACAACUGCGCUGCAUUAACCCUUUUACUUCCCCGUUAUCAUAAAUCACAAUAAACCUAAUAAUUUCUUUUUCCAACAAAAAAAUUACAGUUGCAAAAAAAUUGGUCAGGGAAGCACACUUAUCAACACGCAGUCUCUUCUUGGAGAUGGAUGAUUGUUUUUGUGUGUGGAGACCGGAAAGAAUAAUACACAUAUUCAUAUUGUUCUUGCCAUUAAUUAAUAGCCCCAAAAUAAUAGUUCUAUAUGUAUAGAUAUAGAUUUUGGAUUUUGAAACCAAACACUUGUGUAGUUUUUUAAAUUGUAACACAUUACAAGCAUCACAUAAGAAUAAACUAUUAUAUGAUUAAAAAGUACUCACAAAGGGGAUUGAUUACAAAAACAAUACAUUAAAUAUAUGUCUGCACACAUUUUGAUCCUCUGCUAAUAAUGUAAAAACACUUUUAACCGAACAUUAACUCAUUUUCCUUUUCUCUUUAUAUAUAUUUGUAACUCUUUACAAAAAUUUCGUAUUUGCAGCUCCCAUUUGGAAUGACUCCGGACAGCACAUUUGGCACUGGAGAGGCAGGGCUACCUGUUCAUCACCCACCAGUUUAUCAGUCUAGAGACCCGGCAAUAGAGUCAAUGGGGCUGCCUCAAUCACAUGUCCCCCAAGGGUUGGCACAUGUAUGUCUCCAUUUUACGAUACUUACUUAUUUCUUUAACGUUUUUUAAAAUCAAAACUUAAGUUUAAAUAGAGCUGAAUCUUUGGUAUAUUUAGGAGAAACAUUACGGUAGGGGAGGGAACCUUGGAUAAUUUUUUAAAAUAUAUAUAUGUGUGUGUGUGUGUGUGUGUGUGUGUGUGUGUAUUGAAAUGAAUGAGUAUUACCUCUUUCUGUAACCUUGUUGUACUUGUCCACAAAGAUGAGACAAAUUAAGAUGGUCAGGAGUAUUCGUGCUCUAAUUAAUAAUUGUAAAUUUUACAUAUGUAGGAGAACCAGGGUCUGGAGCUAAUUGAUGAUCUAACCUUUAGUCCUAGUGACUUACUGUGUUUUGACAUCAAAGAAGCUCGGGAAAAGGAGACAACAAGCAGCUGAAUGGUGAGGAGAGGGACUGGAAGAUUGUUUACAGGCGUUACUUUUUCUUUCUAGUUUUUCUUGAAGAUCUUGGGAGAUACUAGUACCAUGGCUUCUCUUGUUUGUUUUAAUUUCUUUGUUUUGAGUUUGGAUGUACUCUGAUGCUAAUAAGUUAUGUUGUGUGGUUAAAUUGAAGUUUUUGGAAUUAAAAUUAAUUGUCUCGCGUAUCGUUAAUAUGAAGGAAUUACUGAUGAAAUUACACGAAACCUUUUAGCUAUUUAUUGAUUUGCUCAUCUUUUUUAUUGCUUCAAAAAUUAAAUCUACAAUUAGAAUUGAAAAAAUAAUAUAUAUAUAUAUAUAUAACCAUUAAAUCUACUUCGUUUAUAAAACUCUUAAUCAAUUACCAAUUAUAUGGUAAUUGAUGCCUUUCUUCUUCUGCAAUUCUCCUCCUCUGUUGCUUGGUGACGAUUGCGGACACGUGAGAGCAGACAUCACACAGGAUGUCUGAAAAACACAUGGGCUUUGAGCCCGAUAACAUGGUUGGGGGUUACAUACCUCAAAAGCCCGGGAAAACUAUCAAAGCUAAUGGCCCGCCGCCCGCAUAGAAUGCCAAUCAAAACGAAGCCUUCAGAAUAUGCAAGAUUACACGUGGCGUGUCUUUAUCCAUUGUAGUUAUUACAUUUGGUCUAGAGCUUGGUCGGUGCAAGGCUGGGUCGUGGGUUUGCAGAUGUAUCUCAAAAUUAUAUUGUUUUGAAUUUAUAAAAUUAAAAUGAUAUUAUUUUUUUAUAAAAUUAAAAAAAUAUAUAUUAUUUGUUGGAUAAAAAUUAAAAAUAAAAUUCUUAGAGCAGCCAAAUCUCAUCCAAAUUUGCUGAAAUCAAUUAGGUCAUAAAUUAACUUAUUAGGUUAUUUAAAUUUACCCGGGUAAGUUUUCAAAACAAUUUAAAAUAAAAUUCAAUUUUGGUCAAGCUCAUAACUCGGUCAAACAUAUUUUAAUUAACUAUAAACUAAAAGAUGAGGGGUUUUGGUGUACCCCUCCUCACAUAGCACUCUUCGUUUGAAUAGUGUUUUGCUUCUUAUUUUUUCUUUGAAUUUUUUUAAUUAAUAUCUUUUUUUUAUUUUAUCUUUCAAUAUUAAAUUUGUUUUUUUAUAGAAUUAUCAUACUCUCAUGACAUAGAUUACGGGCUUGACGAAUUAACUCAAUUUGACUUAUUAACUCGGUUGACUCAAGUUUUUUUUUUUUCUUAAUUAACCUUUUUUAAAAUUUCAUCAUGUAAUAUUAGGUUAAUUGAAUAUUAGACUUCAUGAUUGACUUUUAUACUUUUUGUUAUGUUAUUUCAGCCUCAUGAUCUGGAAAUAGUGCUUGAUGAGUUAACACGGGUAGACUUAAGUUGUUUAUUGUGUCAUUUUUUUUAAUUUUUUUAUUUAAUACUAAGUUGGUUAUGAAUCGAGCUUCAUAAUCUUUUUUUUCAUUUACUUUUUAUAAGGAUAUAUUGAUCUUCGAAUAAUUCGGUGAUAACUAAUGAAUCUCGUAAAAUGAGUAUAUUGCACCUAAUAACUCGAGUGAAAAUAACAAAACUGUUACUACACUGUUUUCGUUAUCGGUGCUAUUGAGCAUGAGUGAACGGUGUUUUUCAAAGGGAUUUUAACUUUUGUUAAUAAUUUUAUAUAUUUUGCUACAUCUGUUUGAAUGAUCAGUUGAUUUUACCUCCGCAUUGCAUAUUUUGAGUUUUGAAAUUAAAAUUAUUUGCUAUUGACGAAAAAUUUAUCGGCCACUACAUGGUAGUGGGCUUUCACGUGGUGGACCCGUAAUAUAUACUGUGAUAUUUUCUGCAAGUCUUGGUCGUUUCUUUUAAAUAAAUUCUCGAAGUCUUUGUUUGCAUUUUAAGUCUUGGUCAAUAAUUCAUAUUGAUAUGAGCGAAUGGUUCCUCUGAGCAACAAAGACCACCAAAGCAGCACAAGUCUUGCUGCUGUUCUCAGUUUUGCGACCAACAGACUUGAACCCUUGAUUUGAAGCUGGUUCAUGUGUUAGCACAAACGAACAAGCUAUAUAUUGUUGAGUCCAGCUGCAUGUUAUUCAUUAUUGCAAACUUGAAUAUUCUUCCUUUUUUUCCUGCUCCUAAUGAUCAACAUUUAGCCAUGAAUGGUAUGUUUUUAGUCUGUCACUGUUUGUUUAUCUACUUCUCUUGAUUCUUACCUCUGUUUCUUGCCUGGUUUAAAAUAUUAUGCAGGAAUGAAGACGAGAAAAAAAGAGAGAGAGGUAGAAGAUGCUGGAGGCAUUGUCAACAAUGAAAAAGGAAUUCCGCGAUUUAAGACUUUGCAACUGGCUAGCAGCUCAUGCGAUCUAUCAACUUGAGCAUUUUACAGAUGAAACUGCGUGAUUUGAGUGCAUUUACCACAUCAGAACUGGGAAGACAAGAUGCAAGAAAGAGACUAACAUUUGCAGCUGGCCAGGCACUGUCAUAUGAUAGACUAGGCAAAAUCAAGUAGCCGAAAAAGGCCCAAGGAAGAAGAGGAGGAGGAGAAAGAGAAAGAGAAAGAAAGAGAGCCCAACAUGACAGACCCAGCCCAACCGGAGAAGAGGAAGGGAAAGGCCCAAACUGGCUAGCAGUUGAGCCAAUGACUCCAUCGGAGAAGAAAAGAAAGCCCAAUUUAGCAACUUGUUGGGCCAAAUGGCCUAGACUUCGUCAAAGAUUUGAGAAAACGUAAAGUCGAAAACAAAACAUUUGAGCUUCGAACAAGCUUGUAUUUUUGGUGAUGUGCAGUCGAGGAAAGCAAACUGGCCUCUAAGAGAGUGAGAAAAGGUAUAACUGAAUAGUUCUAUUAAAUGUUGAAGUGUGAACUGAAUUUUUUUUAUUCAUUCAAUGAAUUAUUAUAGUAUUUAUAGUAUUACAUAAGUGUUAUCAACAGAAUCAGUUGUAUCAGUUGUAAAUAACAGACUUUGUAACAGAAUAUAACUGAAUGUAACCUCCUAUUCAACACGUGCUUAACUUAAUAAUGCAGCAGCGUUAGUCGUUUCUUCAGCGUCUUCAUUGUGAAGCUGCAGGCUGUAGACGUCGGUGUUGCUGAAUAUAUUCAAUACGCCCCCCUCAAGAUGAGAUUCAUAAACAUGUUAGGGAGAAUAAAUGUUAUGAACACUCAUCUUGGAUAAUAAGGGAUGAAAAUGAGAUGAACCAAGAGCUUUGGUAAAAAUAUCAGCCAACUGGUGUUGAGAAGAAACGUGAAAAGUGCGAAGAACACCGGAUUGAAUUUUCUCACGAACCACAUGACAAUCAAUGUCAAUGUGUUUGGUACGUUCAUGGAAAACGGGGUUGGCAGCAAUGUGAAGAGCAACUUUACUAUCGCAAUAAAGGAGAGCAGGUUGUAGUGGAACAUGUAAGUCAGUGAGAAGGUUGCGAAGCCACACAAUUUCACAGCAGGUAGACGCCAUGGCUCUGUACUCAGCCUCAGCAGAAGAACGAGAGACUGUAGUUUGUUUCUUGGAUUUCCACGAAAUCAAAGCAUUAUCCAGAAAGACACAAUAGCCUGUGACUGAUCGUCGAGAGUCCAAGCAACCAGCCCAGUCUGAAUCACAGAAUGCUUUCAGUUGAAGGCUAGAAAGGACUGGGAAGAACAUGCCCUGAGCUGGAGAGGUUUUAAUAUAUCGUAGAACUUGAGAAGCUGCAUCAAGAUGAGGAGCCCGUGGCUUGUCCAUAAACUGACUUAAAACCUGAACAACAAAAGAAAUAUCAGGUCUACUGAGAGUGAGAUAAAGUAAUCGUCCAAUAAGGCGUCUGUAGGAAGUAGGAUCAGCUAAAAGUUGGCCAGAAUCUCUAGAAAAUUUCACAUUAGGAUCCAUAGGAACUUUUGCCGGUUUGGAAGCCAACAAACCAGUGGUUUCAAGUAUGUCCAAUGCAUACUUGCGCUGACAAACAAAAAUCCCAAGCUCACUGCGAGCUAUUUCCAACCCAAGAAAAUACUUCAAUGGACCAAGGUCUUUAAGCUUAAAUCUGUCGUUAAGCAUGUGAAUGAAUAUGGAAACAGCAACUGAAUUAUCACUUGCAACAACGAUGUCAUCAACAUAAACUAAUAGGGCAAUAAAGAAAUCUGUCAAAGAUCGAGUGAACAAAGUGUAAUCAGCCUUGGACUGCACGAAACCAAAUUCAAGCAAGGCAGAAGAAAAUUUGGCAAACCAUUGCCGUGAAGAUUGCUUUAAACCAUAGAGUGAUUUAUGUAACCUGCAGACCUUGGACCCCCCCGCUUUAGCAAAACCAGGUGGCAAUGUCAUGUAUACUUUUUCAGCUAAAUCACCAUGAAGAAAGGCAUUAUUCACGUCCAAUUGAUGAAGAUGCCAGUGUUUGACAGCAGCAACUGCUAAAAGGGUUCUGACAGUGGUGAGCUUAGCCACAGGAGAGAAAGUAUCAUAAUAAUCCAACCCUUCACACUGAUUAUACCCCUUUGCAACAAGCCUAGCUUUAUACCUCUCCAAAGUGCCAUCAGAUUUUAACUUGACUUUAUAAACCCAUUUGCAGCCAAUAGUGUGUUUAGAUGCAGGAAGAUCAACAACAGUCCAUGUGUUAUUCAAUUCAAGAGCUUUGAUUUCAGUAUCCAUAGCAUCACACCAUUCCUUACUACGGAUAGCUUGAGUAUAGGAAGUAGGCUCAGUAAGAGCAGAGACAGAAAGGCUAAAACAUUUAUGAGCAGGAGAAAGAUGAGAGUAUGAAAGAAAAGAUUAAAGAGUAUAAGGAAUACCUGAAGCUGAAGAGGAAGGUGCAGGUGCUGAAGAGGAGGUGGCAACAUGACAAUGAUAGUCAUGCAAAUAUCCAGGUUUGUGUUUUAUCCUAGAAGACCUCCUGCAUGGCUGAGAAAUGAGCUCAGAAGGGGAUGGUAGAAGAGGUGCUAAGUCAGAAUAUAGAGGAGGGGAAGGUAAGGUAGAAUUGAAGGGUGAGGGAGUAACAGAUUGAAAAAUAGAAGAAUUAGAAGGUAUUGGAUCAUUGGAAGGAUCUACUGAUUCAUGCAGGGGGAAAGGUAAGGGAAGAACAGAAUCAGUAGGAGAAAUAGGAUGUGUAAGUGCAAACAGAAAGAUAGUUUCAUGGAAUAUGACAUUGCGGGAGACAAAAACUGUAUGUUUAUGUAAAUCGUAGAGUUUGUAUCCCUUGAUGUGAGAAGGAUAUCCAAGAAAUAUACAUGGUUUAGCUCUAGGAUCGAAUUUAUAUCGAUGUCUAAGUAAAGUAGAGGCAUAGCAGAGGCAUCCAAACACUUUCAAAUGAGAAUAGGAUGGUCGAGAAUGGAACAAAGUUUCAUAAGGUGAUUUGUUGUGUAAGACUAGGGUGGGAAUGCGGUUGAUUAAAUGUACUGCAGUAAGCACACAAUCUCCCCAAAAAGGUAAGGAUAAAUGAGAUUGAAAUCGAAGGGAUCGAGCAACGUUCAGAAUAUGUUGGUGUUUGCGUUCAACAGUAGAGUUUUGCUGAGGGGUUUCAACACAGCUCAGUUAAUGGAUUACACCCUUCGAUGCAUAGAAUGGACUCAUGUGAAAUUCAACACCAUUAUCUGAUCGAAGGGACUUUAUUGUGGUAUUGAAUUGUGUCUCAACCAUAGUAAAAAAAGAUUGAAUAUGAGUGCUGGUUUGAGACUUAUUGUCUAAGAGGUGAAUCCAUGUGAAUCUGCUAUAAAUCAUCGACAAUAGUUAGAAAAUAGGAAGAACCACUAAUGGACUUAGUAGAGAAGGGGCCCCAAAGAUCACAGUGAAUGAGAUCAAACGGUUUUGCAGAAUGUGUAAAGCUGUGAGGAAAGGAUAAACGAUGUUGUUUAGCCAAUGGGCAAAUGCUGCAAUUUGUAUUAGAUUCAUGUAACACUUGAGGGAUUACAUGAGAGAGUAAUUUCAAAGGAAAGGCUGAAGGGUGGCCUAAUAUAUAAUGCCAUAGACUAGUGUUUACAGAAUGAACAAAAAAACUA